ACCAAGUUCAGUAAAAUGGAAUUAAUAAUUGGUGCGUGGAGCCUGCCCAGCAAACAAACUAGGAAUUAUUCCCCAUUAUUAUGACAUCAUUCAUGGCGUCAUCUCCCGACAAGCAGCGUAUGAUCCAACCAUCAGAAUCUCUUACACGUGGGAUCAUAUCCACCGCCCAAUGUCCCUUCAACCCACCACACUCCAACAUAUAUCACCAAAACUUUAUUCCCAACUCACACCUCUUUCUCCUUCUCCCCAGUUCUCAAACCUUACCUAGUAUUUUCGUUUCUGAACCCAAUUAAUUAAGCACACAAGGACCAUAACAUACCUAUACCUCAAUAUCACAAGUCUUAUGGAGGCAGAGCGAGACAAGUACAAGAUGAUCAACUUUGAAGAAACCGAGUUACGACUCGGCCUCCCACUCAGUGGAAACGAGACGCUCAAAACCACUUGCAGCACUGGGAAGAGGGUUUUUUCGGAUACUGCCGUGGAUUUGAAGCUUAACCUUUCCUCAACCUCAAACAGUGCUUCUUCUGACCUGACUAAAGAGAAGAACAUCACUGCUGCUGCACCUCCUGCUAACGACCCAGCAAAGCCACCUGCAAAGUUAGUUUUUUUUUUUUCCUUCUUCCUUCCACAAAUUAUUAUAUGGUCUCGACUAUUAAUCACGCGUGUUCAUGUUUCGACUAAAUCUUGAUAUGUCAUGAAGAUUAAUCAGGAUUUAUUAUAAUAGUCUGAUCCAUACAAUAAUUUCUCCCUUCCCUUAUUUUUUACUGCCUCUGUUUCUUCAUGCAGAUGAUGAUGCUUCUAUAAUUGUAUGCUUGUGUUUAAUGCUUGCAUGGUGAUUAUCAUGUGCAAAUUUUAUGAUUCAUGCAAAAUAAUUAAAAAUAUGUAUAGUUUCUCUGGCCACGAAGGUUAUAAUACAGAUGAUAAAGAAUCAUGUCCCGGUUUUAGUAGUACUUAACGAUUAACGGAACUCGCUAUGGAAAACGAUGAGAUCCUAGUUUAGAAGGUAAUCUUUGACCUUGUUUUAGAAGUUACCAAGGAAAAUUAACGAGGGCUAGGAUUAUUUUAGGUCUAACAAGUAACAUCCCUUUAAUUAAUUAUCCAUUGAAAGUCUUAAUUGUAAAAUAUAAAACAUGCUACUUUCAAGUUUGCUACUAGUAAUUAGUAAAUUAAUAAUCAUAGACAGAUCAGAACUUGAUAUAUAAUCCAAUUAGGCAUUCCAAAAUUAUGUAUUAUCAAUCGCAAACGCAUGAUUUUUUGUUUCUUACUUGAACUAACGGCUAAAAAGGACGAAAGUAAAAAGGGGACACUGUAAUUACGUAUGAGUCAUCCAGAUUGGAGGAGAAAGGGAAAGUGUCGUCGAGAUUUUAAGCAAGAAAAAGAAACGAGUGAUGAAGAAUUGAGGAGUGUUUGGCUGGAUUGCUUUUGCGGAUGGCAUGCUUUGUUGUCGGGGUAGACAGUGGAAAAGGACAGGACACAUGGAAUCUUACUUUUUCUCAACCACCCAACAGUUUCUCUUUCUCACACUCUAACCAGCAAAAAGGAAAAGGAUAGUCCACGCCCCUGUCCAAUCACCUAACACAUUCCAAAAACAUGUGCCCAACACAAGCAAUUAUUAUAUCCCAGAAUAAUCACCCCAAGUUAACCAUAAUUAAAAAAACCUAUAGUGAUGAAUUUCAAAGUUUCAAACCACACACGGCUCUUAACAAUUAUUUUCGUGCCUUGACCGUCAAACUAAUGCCUCUUUUCUGUAGUUAGUUACAAUAUUAAAAGGGGAUGCAUGAUAAUUUAAUUGAUGUAGUUAAUUGUGAAUAAUUUUCAGGGCACAAGUGGUGGGGUGGCCACCAGUGAGGUCUUUCAGAAAGAACAUUGUUCAAAGGAGUAACAACAAUGAGGGCGAAAAAGCCGCCACAAGUAGUAGCAACAAUGUGAACACGGGAGCAGCUUUCGUGAAGGUGAGCAUGGAUGGUGCUCCUUAUUUACGCAAGGUGGAUUUGAAGUUGUACAAGAGCUACCAAGAGUUGUUGGAUGCGCUGGCUAAAAUGUUCAGUUCAUUCACCAUUGACAAGUGUGGAUCCCAAGGCAUGAAAGACUUCAUGAACGAGAGCAAAUUGAUUGAUCUUCUCAACGGCUCUGAUUACGUACCAACCUAUGAAGACAAAGAUGCUGACUGGAUGCUCGUUGGUGACGUACCGUGGGAGUAAGUCUGGACCAUUAUUUCUCUAAGCACACACCACAUCCUUAAUUAUUAGGACCAUUUCUCGAUUAAACAUUACUAAUUUGGAUAUAUAAUUUCACAGAAUGUUCGUGGAAUCAUGCAAGCGCCUGCGUAUAAUGAAAGGAUCUGAGGCAAUCGGGCUAGGUUAGUGAUCUUAAUUAACAAAAAAGCUAUUAUCUUAAUUAAUUAAUUAAUUAAUGUGCAUUGACCGUGAGGUUGUUAUUUUUUAUUUACAGCACCAAGAGCAGUGGAAAAGUGCAAGAACAGAAGCUAGAGUCAAAUUUGUAAAUUCCACUUUCGACAACAAUCUGCUCUAUCUGUUGCUCUUGGGCGUCCACGGAAAGCAUUAAUGCUAAUUUCUCGAGCAAGGGGUAGUCUAAUAUAGGAGCCAAGUUGUUACAUAAUGUGUCGGUACCAUUUCUUAGAAAUAAUUUUCUUGUAUAUGUAUUGUGUAUUUUAUAUAUGUGAGAAAAUAUAUAAUUUGGAAAUUAGGGACAAGAAAUAAUGAAGUAUGUUUUAUAUAUGUGAGCCCGUUUUUGUUUCUAAGUACAAAACGUUACGUUGUCUAUCGUUGGUGUGCUUGUCUAAUAAGAAUAAUGUCUACGUUUAUAGCUGUACGUACGUAGUUACGCAUACCCUACACGUAUUAAUUAUGCAACGCGCUCUUAUCUGUCAUGUUAUUAAGAAUUAGGUUUUUUUUUUUUUUUUUUUUGAUGAAGCAAAUACAUUAGAUCCAUGAACAUAGCGAUAAGGUGGGCCACACUGGACCAUGUGCUUCGUGCAACAGCCUUUCAUUUAGGGCUCCACUAAUUUAUUUCACAUGUUCCCACUUUCUUUCCUGUGGCCUUCCUUCACGUAUGUACUGUCUCAUAUCUCUCCAUGUUUCUUCCAUUCAAAAGGCAUAACUAUUUACUUAUGAAUUACAUUGAGGAUUUAAACUCAAACUUAUUAACUUUAGAAAAUCCACUUAAAGGUACUGAGUUAAAUUUAGAAAAUCCACUUAAAGUUACAAAACUCAAACUUAUUAACUUAUUUGAGAGAAUUUAAACUCCAUGAUACUUAAAGGGCCGGACACGUGCUCAUGAAGUAAAUUUUGAAAUAUCAAUGACAGUACUAUUAUACAAGGAUGAAAAAGAAAUUUUGGAUGAAUGUGACAUAAAGUAGACCAUAGGAUAAGGAUAAUCGUGUAACCUUUUAAAACUAGGCAAUCAUGGCAGUGCAAUAUUCUAAAGUUACAGGAUUUGGAUGGAGUAUAGCUUAGCAUCAUCUAAUGAGUAAUGACUGAACUGCCACCCUGAACCACAUCUAUAGGGAAGUGAAUAGAAAGUGCAGACGUUUUAAUUAAAUUGGCAGAGAUGGGAGAUCUCAUUGCGGGAAUGAGUGAAUCAAUGUUGUGUCAAUAACAGAGUCUUUCUAUUUAGAGAGACCAAGGGAUUCAUACUGUCACAUGCUCUCUGAAUAAUUAAUUAGUUACGCUUGGGGAUUCAUUUCUUACUCGAUCUCUUCUUUUCAGAAUCUAUAUUUAUGAAUUUCAAAUUAGUUACGCUUGGGGUUACUACGAUGUCAGGGUGCUUGAUAUUGCAUAAAAGUACAAAUAAAUAUGACUAAAGCGAUCACAAUAUGAUAUUGCACCCACAAUUAUAGAUGCAGAGCCUAGUUUACUAUCUUAAUUUUAGUUCAUGAGAAUUGGUUAUGUUAAUCCAUUGACUUCACUUGAGGGUGGGUUGCUGAACGCAAAAUUUCAACGAGACAGACACGGAGGGAAACGUGAGCAAGAUAACGACGUUAAUUGACGGCGAGUUACAUGACAUAGCCUAGUCAAUUAAAUUAAAUGACACUUCUGGAUACAUGUUGUUGAAUUGAAAAUAAAAUCUUCUUAAAUUAUUCUAAAGUACCUAUUAAUCUAUUAUAGAUUAUCUAGAGUACUGUUUUAUGGAUAUCUUAUAAUAUUUCAGCUUCAAGAAUUGCAAUAACUAAUCAGUAAAUUGUGCUUCUAAGAAAGACAAAGAUUCAAAUUCUUAAAAGGUGAUUUGUGAAAGAGAUCUAAUGGCAUUAUCAGUGGAUGAGGAGAUAUCGAUAGAUCAAAGAUGUACGUUUUUUUUUUUAAUACAUCUUUGUAGAUUUGAAGAUAAAAAAAAAAAUAGUAUUUGAUAAGUUGUUGAUAGACUUGCUGUACAUUCAUUGCUUGUAAACUUGUUUGUCUAUUGAUAAUUUUCUUUCUUUCUAGACUAUAAGUAUGAAUAAGAUUAUUGAAAGUGAUAGAAUUCUUUUUUUUUCAAAUAUUUAACUUUAUAUCAAUUAAUUUAUCUAGAUGCUUGGUAGUUAUUAUUAACAAGUCUUAAUUUUGUUUAUCUUUGCUUCUCCUUUAUUAUAAAAAGAAAAUAAAAUCACUCAAAUAAUUUCGUCUUAUCAUCUUAACAUAAAAAACUUAAUAUAAACUCUAAAUCUUCUGUGUUAUUUAUUCAUUUAACUUUAAGUUCAGUAUAAAUAUUAGUAUUUUAGCACUUUUUUUCUUCAUAGGGUUAAUCCUCUAACUUUUGUAUUUACAUUUAUAAUUCUCUUUUCAUUUUCAUGCACAUAGGGUGUUUUCGAUCGUUUACUAUGAAAACAUAAAUCCAUAAUCUACAUUUUGUUCAUCUAAUAAUUUAAUUGAGUGAUUAUCACAGAAUAUAAUAAAGUGAUUAUAUAUUAUGAUGUUAUAAAUUCUAGGAUCGUUCUAUAGGUAAUAUUAAUGAUUUAAAUUUAGAACAACUUUUUUGGAGUUAUAUUAACCAAUAACGUCCCUUAUGGUCCUCCUUGGCGCCACCGUUGAUGGUUUGGAAGAGGUCAGUGAAUCCAUGAUAGAGGGCUGCUGAAAUUUUAUUUAAUUAAGCCGCAUUUGGUUGCGAAAUUUUCGGGGGCAAACAAAUUAACAUUGCGUUUCCGACUUAACAACUCAACGGCAGAAAAGUAAAAGAAAAACAAAACGAUAAAUGAUAAAACAUAAAUAUAUACAAGUCGAGAAUAAUCCUCUCCUAAAAUUUUCAACCAUCUGAACCAUAUAUACAACAUAUAUUGCGGUUUUUAGAGGACAACAUCUAUUGGUUAGUAUUUCAAUUUUCAUGCUGCAUAACUUUAUAAAUAUCCUUAAAAAAAACUUUAUAAAUAUAUGCAUCUAGCCGUCAACUAUAUAAAUAAAUAAAUAGUAUAUCCAAUAAAUUUUACGCUGUAUGUUUAAUAAUAACAUUUAAUUAAUGGCUAGGUUUAAAUUUUGUCUUGAUUAAAUAUUUUAUUAACAUUUUAUUUGAUGAGCUCCAGUAUGUUAAAACUUAAAUGAAAUAUUAAAUACCUUAAAUGUUAUGGCAACCUAUUAUAAAAUAUAAAUCAUUUGUAUUUUAUAUUAAUACUAGUUAUGCAAAUGGACAAACCCGCAUCAUGUUCAUGUGCAUAACGUCGUUGCAGGAGAAAAUAAAACGUAGAUCAACCUCACACAUCCGUCUCGGGAAAUUUCGAAGUAGUUCAACUUCUUAUGGUGAUCGUCGCCAAUGGUUGAUAUUUUUAAUUUUUCCCGAAUUCCUUGGAUUCAAUUUGACCUAAUUUACCUUUUUAAUCAUAAUAAUUAAUAAUGUCAAAUACAAUUCACUUGAUCCACUUUUCCUUUUAUUUCACUUUAUUGAUAAAUAUAACUAAAUAUAAAUUUAAAUUCAAUUACCAAAAGAAUUCACUUAAAAAGGCAAAGAAUAAAAUUAUGUCAUACCAAAACUAAUCAUCACUUAAGAGUUGGCAUAUUUCCACAAACUUGUAUCUAAUUAUGUAGAACUUUCAUUCUUUUUCUUCUCCAUGCCUGCCAUAUAGAAUUUUCAACAAUCAACAUUAAUUCCUUUUUCCAAGACUUUGAAUCCUCCCUCUAGAAGCAAGAUGUUUAUCACCACAAGCUAUGUGUCCCGUCUAUCAAACAACCCAUACUAAUCUCUCUGGAUCUUCUCGUAACCAAGGAAAGAAAUAUUUUUGUCAUACUUUUCAAUCAAAGAAAGGGCAUUUUCAUAAUUCUGUGAUCCUAGGUAGGCCCUAUAAAUAUGCAAGUAGCUCUAGGACUUAAAUCCAGUUCAUUGUAAACAAAUAGGAUAAUGGCAAAGGUAUCUCUGUUUGUGGUGUGUGUCGUUUGCAUUCUGGCAUUGGCCUCUGCUCAGAGUGCUACAAAUGUGAGAGCUACUUAUCAUUUGUACCAACCUGAGCAGCAUAACUGGGACUUACUCGCAGUCAGUGCAUAUUGUUCAACUUGGGAUGCUGACAAAUCCUUGGCAUGGCGCAGCAAAUACGGUUGGACAGCUUUCUGUGGACCCUCUGGGCCUCAGGGCCAACAAUCUUGUGGCAGGUGCUUGAGGGUAUGUAUUCCUUAAUAACUAAUUAAACCUCUAUAGUAUCGACUCAUGUAAUUGCUACUCAAAGUUAGUUUAGUUGCUAAGGAUAUAAUUCAUAUUUUAUAAAAUCUAUAAAUACCUACUUACUUAAGUGAACUUUGAGUCCUGACAUCAUGUGUGUGGUAGUUGGUUACGGUGUUGCAAUCCAUUUUAGUAAAUUGGAAUAAGAUUAUGUGUAUGGUAGUUGUUUACCAUGUGUGCAUUUAAUCGAGAAAUUUUUGUUGAUUAAAAAAAGACUCAUGUACCAUACAUAUAUAAACUGUAACUAUUUUUGGUUGAUCGAACAAAGCAAUUAAUUAGCAUGCAUAAUGAGUGGUUGUUUGUUGAUGGGGUGUUGUUGCAGGUGACAAACACUAGAACAAACGCUCAGGAAACGGUGAGAAUUGUUGAUCAGUGCAGCAACGGGGGCUUGGACUUGGAUAUUGGUCCGUUCCAAAAGCUGGACACUGACGGGAAUGGCAUUGCUCAAGGCCAUCUUAUUGUUAACUACGACUUCGUCGACUGCGGUGACUAAACUUUGACUAGCUAGCGUUGGUUAUAUGCAAAAGGAAUUGAAUAAAGAAAGCCAUACAAGUGCUUUAUUGCUGAAUAGUAAUAAAAUAAAUAAAUGAAAGCAGUAAUUAAUAGUAUUACCAUCCCAAAUGGCUCACUGUUGCUUUUCUUAAUUUCUCCUGCGCCUAAAGCCGCUGCCAUUCUAAAUAUGUUUCAGUAGACAAGUAGCCGUAUAUUUAAUACCUUCAACAAAAUUAUGAGAAUAUUUAUAGAAAACAAGAAACUAUAAUAAAAUAAAAUCGAACAGAUGAAACCCAAUUUUUAUUUUUUUUACAAAAAAUCCAUAUUUAAAACAAACUCAAUUUAUAAUAAUAUAUUUCUUAAUGUUGCAAUUAGUUAUUUUAUAUUGUUUAUAAUUAAUUUACUUGACCCGAAGAUUACUAUCCUAAAAGAUACAUGUGGUUUCUAUUAAAAUAAUAAUAAUAAUAAUAAUCCAAACUGUAAAAGGAAAAAUAAUAAAUUGUUCUGUUUCUAUGCCUCACGGGCUUAUGAUAUUGGAUUUGCUGCCUCACGGGCAUAUAUAUGCUAUGUUUCAUAUAUCAUGGACAAAAGUUUUGAUAUAUGAUAGAUUCAAUUAAAAAAAUAAUUAGAAAUUCAAAAUAAAAAUUUAUCAUUUAUUAUGGACGUCGGAUAUAUUUAAACCAUAAAAAUAUCAUCACACUUUAUAACCAAAAAUAAGUUUCAAUGCAAAUCUUCAAAUACUCAUCUUAAUUGAGUUCGACAAUUCAAAAUUAAUGCUAUAAAAAAAAUUCUGAACUUUAAAACAAAUGAAUCCUACAACAGUAUGGGAGAAAUACCCAUGAAACAUUUUCAUAAUUUACUAAUUCUGCAACAAUUUUGGAACAUUUCAAAUAAGCAUAAGCUUUCUAAUUACUAUAACAAUUUAAUGAAACUGAUUAGAUUACUGGCUGACUCUUCCUGUACGACUGUACCUAGUGAAAGAAAACACGCACAAACACAAACUGAGGAAAAAAGGAUCAAGUGAAUAAGGCUGCACUUCCCGCAAUGCUUAGGUCUCUUCUCACUGAAACGAGGUAUUAAUAGCAAAGGCAAAACUAUGAUUUAUUUUCAGUAGUUCCAUGAAAUUUCCUCCCAGCCUCGACAGCUUCCCUGUAAAAGAUGAUAGUCAAUGAGCUACGCAGUACACAUGCACUCGCUAACAACUUUCAUAAACCAUGUGCUAGGUUGACAAUGUGAGUUGCAUCUAUAAAUCACUUAAAACUCGAGUAGCAAUCACAUCUGUUGAACGAUGAUACAGCAGUAUCUGUUAUAAUUUUGUUAGUUAAACUUUUCUUUUGCUCCAAUUUUAUUUUGACGGACAGGCAUUAACAGGAUCUUCAUCCUCAUCCAGUGAUUUUAAUUUUUUUCUUAACUGUCAUAAGGCAUCACACACUAGCACUCUCUUAUGCAAAGCUCCAUGUGUAUAAUGCAUGUUUCUGUAAAUUAUGUUUGCCUCCUUCAUAGGAAUCAUCCUAAAUCUUGGUGAUCAUAUUGAUUCCUUUUGCAUAGUUUAAUGUCUAUAAGCCAAGAAGUGUUAAUAAAUAAAAUAGUAUGCAGACCUGAACGCAUUUACAAGCUCCUUAUUUUCAGGAUCAAGCUUUACUCCCUCAUAAAAAGCAUUUGCAGCUUCAUCAAAUUUCUGCAACAAGGAUAACCUAGUAUAGUUUUAGAAAUGUUAAUCAUAUAUACUACUAAUAAUGGAAAAGUUUUCCGAGAUAGCAUGCCUGCAACAAACGCAGAGCUGCCCCUUCCCUAUAACAAGCUUUUGGCCAAUCUGGUCUUAAAGCUCUACAAGCCUUUGCAUCAGCUAAAGCAUGCUCAGCUUGACCCAACUUAAUCCAACAAAGACUUCUAUUGGAUAGCAAAGUAGCAUCAGUGGGGUUCAGAUCAAUUGCCUGUAAACAUAUUUAAAAAAAGAAAAAAACACAUUUGAUAAACUGAUCAUCAUAUAGAAUGAAAUACGGGCAGUAUGCUCAUGUCCAGUUACUCCAGUAGACACUCUGUAAGUUCAUAGUAACAUCAUUGAGACAUAUAACUAACAGAAGGGAUUAUCUGAACUUGUGCAAGAAAAGUACUCGACAAAUCUAAGUUACAGAAGAGGAAGAAAUUCAAGAGGCAAAUGGGAGAUCAGAAGACUUUACUUGGGUAUAAGAAUCUAUAGCCAUAUGAUAGUCAUUUCUUUUAAAAGCCUCAUCCCCUCUUGACUUUGAUUCUGCUGCUCUCUUUUUGGCUUCAGGUGCCACCUAGAUAAGUUGACAAAGAAAUAAAAUAACAAAUACAAAGAUAAACUUUAUACUCAGUUAACUGAAAGUUCAAAAGGGAUGAACAAUUAAUCAAAAAUUACCAACUUGACAAUGUAGUAAGAGCUCAAAUAUCUUCUAAGAGAGUUUAAGAAUGUACACAAAAAGCUCAUCGUGUUUUCACAAGUUUGGGCGUGAGUUUUUUCAGGUUAAAAGCAAAACAAAAAAAAAGGAUUGGGUUCACGACCCAUUAAGAAAAAAGGGUUUUCGAGUGAAAACCCAAGCAUGUGCCUUCUUCAAAUCGACAAUUAAAAGGACAUUAACUUAUUGAAGAAGCCCCUGUCUUCUUCUCUGCUGCUCGCGAAUCCACUACAUUGUGAACAAAGUAGUCAAACACACCUUUUUCAGUUGAAAUGCAUUAGCAAUCUACACCAAAAUUAUUGGACAAACAUAUCCAUCAAUUAUUUUAGUAGUUAAUUUGGGACAUGGAUGCUAUAGUAAUUUAACGUUUCAUGUAACAUUUCACAAAAGGAGAGGGGAAAGGAGAUAGAAAGAGAAAGUAGAAGAAUAGGAAGAUGAACAACCUCACAGAAUGCUGUGAAUGAAUGUAUACAGGUUUUGUUGAUGCCAAAAGAAUAAGAUUGCUUCAAAGUCUAAAGUUACUUUAAGUCUAAAUUCAAGAUCAAGAGAAAGAUAAGGCUUAGUUUAUUUGUUAAAAGAAUCUCACAUUGGUUAAUAAGGUUUGGUCUCAAAGCUUGAUUUUCAAAAUGUUUAUAUAAAGCUUUAAAAGAUGCUUUAUCAGUACAAAAAUAAAUAUUUUUGCACUGGUAAUCGAUUACCAAAGACAGAUUACAUAAAAGUUUUUUUUAAAACAAAAAGAAGUUUUUUGAAUUUGAAAUUUAAAUAUUGUAAUCGAUUAUCAUAUGUCUAUAAUCGAUUACCAGUAACGAAUCUUCAAAAAAUAACUUUGAAAAGUCAUGAGCCUUCAAGAACAUAACUGUAUAAUCGAUUACCAAGAUAUUGUAAUCGAUUACCAGUGAGAGAAUUUUUGAAAAAUAUUAGGAAGAGUCACAUCUCUUCAAAAAGGUUUUUAAACAGUCACCAAGGGCUUAUAAAUAUGUGACUUUUCUACAAAAAUCUUCAGAGUUUUCCAUGAGAACCUAAGUGCCAUAUUCUCUCAAAAACAAAUCAUUGGCCAAACACUUAUAAAUCAAUUGAGUAUUCUUCUAAGAUCUUCAACUUGUACUAUCAUCUCUAAAAGAGAGAAAUUCUUGUGUACAUUCUAAAAACAUUAUUGUGAUCAAGCGAUUGUUUGUCUCUUGACUUGUGAGAAUCAUGAACACAAGAGAGAGAAAUCCCAAGGUGUGUUCAGAAAUUAUAAAGAGUUUACAAAGUUAGUGAAAAAUCUCAAGUGGAUUGCUUGAGGACUGGACGUAGACAUGGGAAGUGGCCGAACCAGGAUAAAACGAGUUUGCAUUUCUCUCUUUUCCUAUCUCAGUUAUUUUAUUUCGUAUAUUUUUAUCUUGCAUACUUGAAGAAUAUUGUUGAAAUAAUUUGCAUCUUCAUCUUCAUCUUCAAAAUUCUGAACCUAGUUUUAAAAAGGGAAUUAGAACUUGACUAAUCGGAAAAAAAUUUAAACUUAAUUCACCUCCCCUCCUCUUAAGUUAUUGAGGCCACUUGUCCAACAAAUGCUACUUGACAUGAGUGAUGAAAAAGGAGAGACAUAUUUUCUUUUUUAUUUUUUAAAUGAACGAUAAAUUACUCUAGCAUCCCUGUCCCAAAUUAACAAAAGUAAAAGAAUUGAAUGGGUAUUUUUGUCCAAUAAAUUUUGGUGUAACAUCCUAAUGCACUCCAAAUGGAAAAGAGGAGUAUGUAUAUUAGCAAACCCAUAUAUAUAAUAUUAAAAACAAAGAAAAUCUACCAACCAAGACACAAACUUCUAUACAGCUAGACAUCUAAUAGAGAUCUUUCAAAUUAAAAUCAAAACUCAAGGUCCUCCAUCUCCAUCAUCAAGCAAAACAGUAAGAACAUCCUCCUCCUCUAGAGGUGGCAAACAAGAACAUCAUUCUCUUGAUCUCCAACUUAUGCUUGAACCAAGUCUUCAUCUUCAUUUGGAUUAGGAGCAUUCAAUCCAAGUAGCAUGUAACAGACGGGAUGGCCAAACUACCUCUUGAUUCCAAAAAACCCUCUAAACACAAACAUUGAGGCCUGUUUGGUGCAGGCAAGCUUUGGGAUUUUCUACUUUCAAAACAAUAUUUUGCUUAUAAAAUCAAUCAAAUAACCACCAUUUCUCACUCAUCAAAACCCUUGCUUCUGUGUAAGACGUUUCUCAACCUCAUUUCAAUCUCGACCCAACAUUCCAGCAAUUGUUUUCUCUUCUCCAGAAAUUGGUUUCUCACUUUCUAUGCCUUUGUUUUCUAUGUAUAUUAUCAUUUUCUACCUCAUUUUUUGAGAAUAUAUAUAUAUAUAUAUAUAUAUAUAUAUAUAUAUAUAUAUAAAUUUUCAAAAUAGCAACUACACCAUUACCUAUUAUCCCGCUAUAGCAUUUUUUGUGCCAACUGCUAUGUGUUGCUAUCCAAGAUUUAAAGCAUUGAGGUACCCUAAAGUUAAGUGACAAAGUGAGUUAAGCCUAGACUCAGCAAAUGUCUUCCGUUUGUGAAGCGAUGCAAUAGAGAAAUAAGACCUCGAAUAAAUAUAAGUCAUAAUUCUUCUACACUUUAGAAUUUUCUCUUGUUAAACGGGUAUAUUCUUCUCAAAGUUAUCAGACAUGAAGUAAAUGCAUUGUGUUGCUCAUGGGAUCCAAUAAAGCUUCUUCCUUUCGUCAACAACUUCCCACCAACAGCUUUGUAGAUUUUUGUACUAUCCAUCAUUCUCUUCACCAACCUCUUCGAUGCCAUCCAUCAUCUUAAAAAGCUUAUCAGUUGUUCUAGACAUGGCAGAUGCAUCAAUAUAUUUUAAAAAGACAAAUCCCUUUUGACUGUUCACCUAGUUCAAUAUCGUCCUCCUAUUUUCUGACAAAAAGAAGGGGGACAAAUAUUGAACUUCCUGGUGAACAGUCCGAAGGGAACCAUCUUUCUGAAACAUAUUGGAUAUUGAUGCAUUGAUAACAUCUAGAUAAACCAACAAUCUUUUAAAGAUGAUGGAUGACUGUUGAAGAGGUUGAUGAAGAGAAUGCUGUCCAAAUUGGGAUGGACAAUGCAGCAAACUAAAAGAAGCUGGCGAAAUAUUGGUAGCGAAGAGGAAGAAACUUUAUUGAACCUUAUGAGAAGCAAACUGCAUUGCCUUGAUGUUGGAAAACAUUGAUAAAAAGAACCUCGUUCAUCAAGAGAAAAUUACAAAGGGUAGAAGACUUCCAACUUAUCUUUAUUUGAGUAUUUCUCUCGUUUCUCUAUUGCAUUACUUCACAAAAAGGAAGAGAUUUGUUGAGUCUAAGGUUAACUUGCUUUGCCACCUCUUAACUUUAGGGUGCCUUGGUGUUUUAAAUCCCAAAUAGUGGCACAUAGCGGCUAGCUCCAAAAAUGUUGUAUCGAGAUAGGAGAUAAUGGUAUAGCCACUAUUAACUUUAGGGUGCCUCAGUGUUUUAAAUCCCGAAUAGUGUUUCUCAUUCUCAAUAGUGCUUAUAAAAACAAUAUUUUAAAUUAUGAUUUUUUUGAGAAACGACAGCUAUUUAAUUGAUUUUAUAAGAAAAAUAUUGUUUUGAAAUUUGAAAUCUCAAAAAUAACCCUCACCAAACAAGCCCUAACGUUAGUGUUCAGAGGCUUUUUUUUUUAAUCAAGAGAUAGUCCUGCCACUUCGACCUUUGCGACCACUAUUUCACCCAUGAUAGGCGCUGCAGUGGUCCUGUAUCGGCCAGGAACGACUUCACUAUGCUACACGCCGCUAUUUAAAACCCUAGGGAUCCUUAAUGAGAACAAGGGACCAUUGAUUAGAAUGUUUACAAGUGACAUGGAAGAAUAGCCGACUGUUUAGGAGAUUGGUAGAGGAUGUGGUUUUGAACAAGGACUUUUUGAAGAAUAAUAUCAUUUGUUUUUGGGGUUCAUUUCCUAUAUUGUAGGUGCUUCGAAUAAUUGAUUGGGAUGAGAAACUAGCCAUGGGUUUCAUUUAUGAGGCAAUGGACCGACCCAAGGAAAGGAUACAAAAAGAGUUCAAUGGUGUCAAGAAAAUACCUAACUAAUUUCAAAAUUUCAUCUUUGGUUUUUAAAUUGAACUAUUGAACUCUUGCUUUAUGGUAUUGGACUUGGUUUCAGAAGUGAAAACUAAAUAAAUUAUUGUUCAAUUGUCUAGUUAUGAAGAUCUAUGGAGAUCAUCGAUGAAAGGUGUUUCAUCGGUGAAUUUUUGGUAUUAUAGCAUGCAACAUGCAAAUUUCAUCGGAUCCAACAAUUUGUAUUACAAUCCCAUUAUUUGUGAUCUUGUGAACCCUUUUCAAUCCCUAGUAUAAUCUUGAGUUUUUCUAUCUUGAUUAUAUGGGACCUACAUAUUUCUUCUACAUUGAAUAAUACAGCUGCAACGCACCCAAUUAAAAAAAAGUACAGCUAUAAAUGUUUCAUAAAAGAAAACACACCUCGGGGACAUUUUGCUUUGGAAAAUCAGCUUCCUUGGGCUGAUUAGUUUCUUUGUCAUUUAUCGAUUCAUCCUGCAUAUUGCCCUUCAUACUCAGAAAAAAAAUAAUCAAGAAUUUAAUUUUAUCAAACAGCAUGCAAUCUAGUAUCAGAAAGCACUAAUUGUGCAUUUUUUAACCAUGAAAGUGAGUAGAAUAUGAUCAAGAAUAUAUUCUGGUUAAAAUUGUAAGCAAAAUCAGUUAAAGGACAGAGAAUUUUAGUAGUGGCAGAAGUAUAUAGAGCCUAUUUUAUAUUGAAAGAGGAAAUUUUUUCUGGUCAGCUUAUGCAGACAAAUCUUUUGUUCCUCGGCAAUUUAAUUUAGAAAGAUAAAGCAAAAUUCUAGAUACUGCCCUAUUUUUUGCAACAAAAUAAAUGCGUCGACAUAUUUCCAUCUGGACAACCUACAAAUCUACAUGGCAAAUAUUUGUAUUUUAAAGGGAAUGCUGUAAUUACUUCAAGCAUAAUUUCAUACUGCCACAUUCAAAAGAAUACAUAGUUAUCAUAAAAGAAUAUUUUAAGAUUUCAGUACCAGCUGCUUUCUAGUUUCAGAUUGCAUAUACUCGAGUAUCCCAUCAACAGUCCAAGUAGGAAUAGUAUCUACUUUGGAUGUCAAGGGGAACAAUAUCUCAACAGCUUUUAGAUAGCCCCUUGCAGCACCAACUUGUAUUGGCUUGACACCAUCCUGUGUGCAAACAGAUGUCAAACUUUAUUUUGAAUAUUAAUUGAAGCACGUUGUUUACCACAAUCAUAACUACUAAAUGUGCCAAGCAAAGAGCCAUUAAUCAUACUGCUUUUGUGUCCCAAGGACUACUGGGUUCUAAGACAAGUAAACUUUAAGAACUCUUUUGUUGGUCACUGAUUCCCACAGUAACAGUAUAAGAAGAUAAUGUUUGAACUUUAAAAUCCUUCUCACCUCAUCAGAGACAUUAGGAUCAGCUCCCGCUUUCAAUAAGCAAUUUAAUAGUUCAAGACUUCCAUUAUCAGCUGCGAUGUGCAAAGGAGUUGCUCCACCAGCACUUAUAUUUACUUUAGCACCUGCCUGCAUAUAAAGAUUCAAAUGUAAUGACAUAGAUUGAGCAUGAGAUGAAAAACAUACAGGAAGAAAGCAGCAUCUUGCAAACACCAAUACCUACAAACUAACACAUCUUCACAUAAAACCACUAAAACAAUUGUGUAAAAUCAAUGUAUUGGAAAAGUCAUUGGUACAUAACUUACCAUGCUGCAUUAUAUUUCUUCUGAUAAACCAUUAACUAUUUGAUUUCUUAAAUGAGAUAUUUAUACAUAUAUAGGUCUACAUACUUCUAGAGUACUUCCAUAAACAUCAAAGGAUGGUUAUGGCUACUUGUAGAGAUAUCUUUCAGGCAAAAGUGCAUUCUUCAACAAGGUUCAUCCAACUUACUGUCACUUUAAACAUAUUCUACCUAUGUGAUUCUUCUUUCCCUUUUUCAUUAUCUAGAUUUAGUUAGUUUGUAACUUAACAUACCCCUCCCAUUAGCUCUCUGACAAAGUACAUUUUUGUACUACUGGACAUAUGUACUUUGAAAUAACUAAUUCUGAUGAAUAUAUAACGUAGAAAUAAGUUGUCAACUGGAUUGCACUGUUGGUCAUAAAGUUGUUAAUUUUUUAUGGCAUUAUUACUACUACAUUAAAUCACUUAAACAAAAUUUAUUCCAUGUUUCAUAGAUACUGACAGAUACACUGUAUAAUUAAUUUGCAGUACAAAAAAUUCAUAGUUGACAGGUUGAGAAAGAUGGGGAACCUGAAUUAACAGCUCUAAGCAUGCCAGAGAACUGGCUGCCACAGCUGAAAGGAGUGGAGUAAUACCAUCAUCAGUUUCAGCAUUUGGCUGCAAAGCAACAUCAACGAGAUGAAAGGGAAUAUAAAAUGGGACUAUAAAAACUAAAAUUAAAAACUUAUUUGAAAAUGGCAUACUUAUUAAAGAGCAUUUGUUUUUAAUCAUACCAUACAAGGCAAAUUGAUAAAGCUUAUGCUGAUUGCACUAAUUAAACCAUGGAAUUAUUGACGCGGAAAUAUAAAAAUUCUGCACUCUAGCAUAUUGAUUAAUAAUGACAUGUGGUCCAUCCACUAAUUCAUAAGUCCACUGAUCCAACAGUUUAAAAAGAAAAGUAUUUUUUUUAAACAAAAACCAGAAUGAUAGAUACUAAUGCCAAGAAAUAUUCUGCAUAUCCAAUUAAAAAUAUAUAAAAUUUCUUUAAAAAUAAAAAACUUUUAAGUGAAUAAAAUUUCUCAAGACAGAGUAGCAAGGAAUCGAACCAAAGCUUCCAAUGAAUUAUAUUAAGAAAAAGCAACAAAGUAAAAGAGGACUCACAUUUGCACCAUGUUCCAAUAGUACACUGACAGAAGCUGGUUGGGCAUGGCCAGCAGCCCAAACCAAAGGUGUUCCCGAGUCACUCUCUAGAUCAGGAUUAACUCCCCUGGACAGCAAGUACUUGAGCAGUUCAGUAUCCCCUGAAACAAAAUGAGAUGAAGAGAACAUGAAAAUAAUAGAACAAAGUAAAAUGUCUUAAUGGAAUACCACUAAACUUUGACACCCUCCUUAAAAAAUCUUGAUAGUCUUACUCCGGGAAGGUAUAGAACAUAAAUUUGUUUAUUUUGAUAACUUAACCGUGAUAAAAAAAAAAUCAUCCGAUAAAGCUAUCAAAAUAAACAACCACAUGAUUACAAAAGACUUGUUUAUAUUAUUUAAAAGUUUUUAUUGAAUAGCCACAAGACUUUUUUUUAUCACAAAAAUGUCUUUUAAAAUCCUAAUCCUGUACACCCCAAAGAUACAUCCCCUUAUGAUACUAGGGUUAGGGACUAAAUUCACCAAUUAUAAAAGAUACGGUGACCAAAAAUCGUGAUUUUUAAUGUAUAGAGACUAAAACCAAUUUUGAUAGAAAAUUGAGGAACUUGAAACAUAUUUUACCUAUUUAUCAAUUCAUUGCAUAGAAAGCAAAGCAAAAAAAAAAAAAAGGAGAGGUGAGGUGAGGUGAGAAGAGACCUAUCCCUGCAGAAUGGUGUAAUACCGUAGCCCCUAAAUUGCUAGCCACGGUAGGAUCGGCACCGUGGUCAAUUAGAUAUUUAGCAGUGGCGGUAUGUCCCUGACGAGUAGCAUGAAUGAGUGCAGUCUCCCCUGAAAAGAAAUAAGCAAUAUCAAUUAUCAUCAGGUAAAAGAUUACAAGUAUGAACAAUAUAUAUACAUAGAGAGAGAGAGAGGAAGCACCAUCAUCAUCUUGAGAAUCGACAGAGAGCUUCAAAUCGGUUAAGAGGUAGUCGCAAACAGCGGUUUGGCCUUCGCGCGCGGCAAAAUGCAGUGCACCUCUCUUGUUGGCGUCCUUUAUUGCUUCCACCGAUUUCGCCAAAUCCUUACCCUCGUCCAGCUGCAACGCCAAUUCUUCCAAAACCAAAAAGCUGCUGCUUUAGCACACAAUAGAGAGGGACACAAACGAACGAACAAGCAAAACAUAAUUAGUAACAAUACAUACUCUUUAAGAGAUCAAUUGAUCCAGUUCGAGCAGCGUUCAGAAACAAUUGAACUUUCUGCCUCGCUGCACUCACACAGGAAAUAGAGAGAGCUUCAAUAAUUAAUUAACAAUCGAUUAACAGAUAGAGAGAAAGAGAGGAAGAAGGAUGUGACCUGCAAGUGCGUCGGAAGCAUCGGGAGCCAUAGGAAUAGUGUAGAAGAAGAAGAAGGUAUUGAUUUUGUGUAGAAAAGGAGACUAUGAAACCUUGUAGACUAUACUAUUACUACCGAUUCUCACUUGUUCGUAUGAGUGAGUCGUAUAUAUAUGCCAUGCCACAAACACGCGCAAGCCGCAACUCUGCUACGCCCGUUUACGGGAAGGGUAUCGCUAUUGAGUAUUGACCUUUUUCUUUUUUCUUUUCAAACAAAAUUAUAAUAACAAAUGCAUAAUUUAUUACACUUUAAUAAAAAAAAUGCAUGCUUAAUAUAUAUAUAUAUAUAUAAGUAACCAUCGUUCUUAUAUACUGUAUAUGAUAUGAUACUAACAAAAAUUCAUCCGAAAAUAAGGACAAUAUUGACCAAUUUAAAUAAACACAGUUAAAAAGGUAACUGAAGUAUUCAUGAGAAUGUCUAUUUUUUUUAUUUUCAAUAAUUUUUAAAGAUUUUAUAAAAAGGUAACAUGCUAAGUCUUAUAAUAAUAAUUACACUUUAACAUAAUAUUAGUGUAACAUAUAAUAUAAAAAUGUGUCAGUAUAAUAUUUUUAAAUAUAAAAUAUUAGUGUGGAAGUAGAAAAAAAUAGUGUGGUGUAUAAUUUUAAAAAAAUUCAACAAGUAUGAGUAUAAUUUGUUCCUAAAGUUAUUAUUGAUUUUUCUUAUUUAUGAUGAAAUAUGCAUUUAUUAUUAUAAUUUAAAUAUAUAAUAAUAAAUAUUAUAUAAUGAAAAUUUUAUUAUAUAUAUAUAUAUAUAUAUAUAGUGCAUUAAUAAUUUUAACUAAAUACAGGAUCCUGUAAAAAAAAUACAGACAGAAAAAGAUGUUUAGUUAUUAAAUUUGUAAUAAUUAUUCUUUUGUCAGAAUUAUUUUUUUGUUUCGUAUAUACGGGAAAUUGUUACAUUAACUUCCUUUAUCUUUAAAAAUAUGGGUUUGUUAAUGAAUGUUCUUAGUGUAUUAGUUGAAACUAAAAAAAAAACUAAAUAUUCAUUUUUGUUCUUAAAUAUAUAAUUUGUAAAAAAUACUUUUCUGAAAUAUAAAAAUACAAAAUUUAAUCUUUGAAAGUAUAAAAAGUACAACAAGAUGUUAAUUUUUGUAUGUCACUGUUAAUAAAAUAGUUAAAAUUCAAAUAAGUGAAAUAUGAUAUAUAUGUAUCUUUUAUUUAUAGUAGAUUGUAACUAAUUAUUAUAAUUUUUGAAAAAAUUGUAAUGAUUAAUAUACUAUUACAAUGUUUAUUUUGGUAAAUUGGUAUAAUAUUUAUUUUGGAUAAUUUCUAUUAAGAUAGACAAAUUAUGAUUGAUAAUCAAUAUUAUCUUUAUUAUUAUGUUUGUUUUAAAUUAUGUUUAUCAAUAUUUGUUUAAGUAAUUAUUGUAAUGCUAUGUUCAUAACGAUAAAAAAAUGAUAAAAAUUUACCCAAAAUUUAGUCUCCGAGAGUGUAAAUAGUGCAUCAAAUAUAUUUGACAGUUAACUUUCGUUCGUCAUCAUUAAUAAAAUAAUCUAUGUGACACAAAUUGACGAAUUUGUUAGUGAAAUAAUUUCCAACAUGGUCAUGCCGACUAAAUUAGAUGAAAAUGUCAGUAAAAUAUCAUUUUUUGACGUAAAUGUCAGUUAAUUUUUGUUGGACAAAAAUUUCAAUAUUUUUUAUUAGAAAAAGAUGUCAGUAAUUUUUUUGAACCUAAAUGUCAGUAUGUUCCAUUGAACCAAAAGGUUAUCAUUAUUGGACGAAAAUACUAGUAGUUUUUUAUUGGACCUAAAUAUCAGUAUAUUUCUAUUAGACUAAUAUGUUGGAUCCAAAAUUUCGUUUCAUUUAAGGGUAAAAUAUAAUUUUAGGGUAAAUUUUUGUCAUUUUUUUUAUCGUUACAAAUAUAACAUUACAAUAAUUACUUAAAAAAAUAUUGGCAAACAUAAUUUAAAAUAAACAUAAUAAUAAAGAUAAUAUUGAUCAUCAAUCAUAAUUUGUCUUACACAAUGGAAAUUAUCCAAAAUAAACAUUGUACCAAUUUACCAAAAUAAAUAUUGUAAUAGUGUACCAAUCAUUACAAAAUUUUCAAAAAUUAUAAUAAUUAGUCACAAUAUACUAUAAAUAAAAGAUAAAUAUAUUUCAUAUUUCACUUAUUCGAAUCUUUAUUAUUUUAUUAACGGUGACAGAUGGAAACUAACAUCCAAAUAUAUUUGUCGCACUUUUUAUAUUUUCAGAGACUAAAUUUUGUAUUUUCAUAUUUUAGGAAUACAUUUGUCAACAAAUAACACAUUUAAAAAUAAAAGUGAUUAUUUACAAAAAAAAAAUUAUAUUGUUACUUUUUUAUGCUCUCUUAUGAUAUUCAUAAUAAAUAUUUUUUAAAAAUUUUUUAACUAUUUUUUUAUGGACAAUCAGCGAACAACAAAUAUAUUAAAUGCAUCAUAGGUGCUAUAAAUGUUUACAAAGAAAAGUGCAAAUAAGCCUUUAGCAGCUUAAAUACACACAGUAAAACUGGAAGAGGCCAACUUCCAAACACCUUCAACCAACCACAUUAGGCUGAGACAGCGAGAAUAAACACAAAUAACAAAUAAAAAAGUGUAUCUUGACCUAUACAAAUAAUCAGUUACUUAAUUAAUGUCCUAACUCCUAAGCAUUUGCCUAAAAAUAUUAUACUGAUGUCUCUUUAUAUGUUAAACUAAUACUAAUAUCUUUUUAAUAUUUAAAAAUAUUACACUAAUCCGUUACAAGAGAGAUUACCAUAAUGAUAUUAAAAAAUACAAAUAUUUGUGUAACUGUACGAAACCUUGAGGUGAUUAAAAUAAUUUACUCUAACUUUAAUUGAUUUUUAAUGAAUCAAGCAGAAAGAUUUAGUUAUUAUCAAGAACGAAAUAUUGUUGACAAGGAAAACAAAAAAAUAGAUGUAAUUAACCACAAUGAGUAAUUAGGAAUGGUUUUAUUGAAAUUAUUUUGUAGUGUUGCAUAAAUUGUUAGACUUUUAAAUGACAUGAUUUAGUAUAAUAGUUCCUUGGUCAGUGAUAUUAAGGAUCCAGCAGGUAGAUGUGAAUGGAGUUGCGGACAGUGACAUCCUUGCAAGAUUUGUUUGGAAUUACCAUCCUGACUUAGUGCUGGAAGCUCUCAACAAGGAUGGUUUCUUUGUAACUUAGUUUUGUUGUUCUCUUUUCGUUUAUUUCCCACUUUACCAAAAAGGAGAUAAUAUAUAAAAUAUAAAAGGAUGUAAUUUAUUUUAAAAAAAAUAUCUUAAGAAUCAGAUUCGAAUUUACCAUGUACAUAAUUUAAUAAAUAAAUAAUUCAGUCAAAAAUAAUAAUUUAAGAGAUUAUAAUAUUUAUUUGUUAAUUAUUAUUCUAUAUUAAGAUUUUAUUUUAUUGAUAAAAAAUAUUAAGAAAUUACUUCACUAGAUUAUUUUUAUUUAAUAUAUAAGAUAGAUGAAUAAAUAAUAAAAAAUCUAUUGUAUUAAUGAUUGUUUAUUAAUAUGUUUUUUAAUUAAAAACAAGGUAAAGAUAGAUAAAAUAUAUUUUUUUCCGUGUAUAUCUUUUGAAUAAAAAUAACAUGUACUUUCCUGAUAACUUUCUGUAGUAUUAUUUUUUUUAUUAAAAAAAUAUCUAUUUUAAAUAAAUUUUUGAAUUUCUCCGUUAUGAUGAUCACUCCAUAAAUAAUAAGAUUUCAAAAAUAUUUUAAAGUGAUUAUAGAGAUCUUGAUUCUCUGACAUGAUUAAGUUAUUAUAUACGUGGAUAAGGGUGAAAUAGCUACAAAAGUAUUUUGUUGUCAAAGCAGUUACUAUUUUUGUUUUUCACGUGUAUCUACCAUUAAAAACAAUUUUUUAAAGCAAAAAAGAGCCGGCAUGCAUUAUUUUAUCAUUUUGUUUUGUCAUAACAAUUUUCUUCUAAAUAUUUAACACAACUAUAUAUUUAAAACUUAAAAUUAAAAUUAUUAAUUAAUUAUAAUAAUUUUACGUGAAUUGAUUCAGUUAAUGAUGACUAUUUUACCAUAAUAACAAUUGUAAUAAAUGUCAAGUAGAUAUAUUAUGGAUAAAAAGUGAAAAAGAUAUACAAAGAUAAAAGUUAGAAGUUAACAUUUUAAAAUUUGUUAAUUCAAGUAGUGUUACAAAAAUAUUAAAAGUUAUUAAAAAAAUUAUCACUGGACACUCAAAUAAAUUUUUCAGCCAGUAAAAAUGUUAAAAAUUAAUUCAAAUAUUCAUUCAAACAUAUCCUUAGUAUGAUUGACACGAAAAAGGAAAGAUAAAAUAAAAAAUCCAAGAAAAUAAGAAAGAAAGGAAGAAUUCUAAAGUAAAUAUUCUAAAAUUAAAAAAAAAAAAACUGAGUGGCGCCUUAUGAUAAGUAAAUUGUCGAAUUUAUGGGCUUGAAUGGGGGUGACUGCGGUUUCAACAUAUUCAUUCGUUAUGGCUUGGCAGCAAGGUUACAUUAAUUAUUAAUCUGCGAAUUGGACGCACUCCAUCCCUCACUGCUAUACUCAUCCUCUCCGCGUAGACUUGCAUGGCCGUGCUGUACUCUUCUUCUUCUUCCUUUCUUCUUUUGUAUUCCCCCCUGAUCAAAAAUAUAUAUUUAAUUAUAGAUUCUUCAUAAUCGCCUUCAAAUGCUAAUUAAUGUAAAUUUUGAUCAUUUUUUAACACAUUUUAAAAAUGAUUUUCGCUGGAUUAUUUAAAAUAAAUCUUGAAUUAAAGCAGCUUUAAUCUUUAUUUAGGUAGCCUUUUGUAUUUGAUAAUAAAUUUUAUUUCAAGUUGUUUUUAUAAUAAAAAAUUUAAAUAUAAAUUAUAUCUCACUUUCAAAUUAAUUUUAUUGACAUUCAUCUAAACUCACACUAUAGACAAAUUAAAUUUACAUCAUUAAUAACCCAUGUUUUGAUGUUGCUGCACGUUGAAAUGAUAAUUUAUUUUAUUUAUGACGCUCUCUUGAUCAUUUCAAUUAAAUUCGAAUUUCACAUCGUCCAAAUACAUUUUAUUUGAAUCAUUGCAAAGAAAGACAAAUCCCUAUAUGCUGUGGUAUUUACCUGUGGUUCAAAAUUGUAUACAUGAAAAUACCUCGGAGAGACAUUUCCACGUACGAAAAACAUAUAUAUAAAGUUGAAGGAAAAUGUUGGAGCAUACCAUUGCGUUUGUUUAGCUCCAAAACAAAACCCAAGGAAAGCUGCACAAUUUUCUUUUUCUCCUUUUUUUAAACUGUCCAGAAACGAAAAAAAAAAUAGAACGAGACUUGUCUUCUUUCUUUAGUUUUUUGCUUCCAUAUUUUGUUUUCUUGAUCAUUCUCUGUGCACGCAUAUCUAGAAUAUAUAUCUUCCUCUGUACAAGACAAUAUCAUAUUCCACAAUAUCCACCCUUCAAUGAGACUGCAUUAACGAACAAGCUACAGCCUGAGCCCAGUGUCUCAACUUGGUCUUUACAUGUUCAGGGUCGUCCCCUACAUACAUAUUCAGCGAGCAAAUUAUUGCAACAACGCAAAAUUUUAAGCACUCAUGCACACAGAUAUCAACGAAUUGAUCACUACGAUGCACACAGAUAGCAUAUAUAGGAUAUGGUAUAUGCAAGAUACAUAUCAAAAUAUGUAUAAAAACUCAUAAAACAUAAUAAAUAUAUAAUUAUAAUUCUGUAAAUUCAAAUUAAGAACAUAUCUUUUUAGAAAUUAUUACAUAUAAAAUAAAAAUCAUUGUUAUCAUCAAAUAAUCAGUUUCUAUAUAGUAUCUAUAAAUCAGUUUUUUAUUUAUUUUUCAUCAAAGGUAUUUCUUUUAAGUUUCUAAUUUCUAAUAUAUUAGAUUUUCAUAACAUUUUUUAAAAGCUUAAACACUUCAUAAAUACAUUGGGGGGGGGGGGGGGGGGUUGAGAUAUUCAAGAUUAUUUCGUAUCAGAUACAAAUACUAAUGCAUGAAGCAAAUUUAAAGUAUAACUAUUUUCACAAAAAAAAUAAAAUGAAAGUACAAUUGCUUCAAAGAUUGAUUCGAAUCAAUAGUUGUGAAAUCGGCUGCAGGAAUGACAUGCAUACAUUAUGAAAUGAAAUUAUGGUAAAUAAUUCAAGAAUAAUAACAAAAUUAGCUAGCAAAAGGAGCCAUGCAUGCAUGCAUAUUUAUUUUUUAUUUCUUAUAAGAAAUUACAUUAAAGAAAAUUUUAUUCCAGUUAAACAACAUUAUUAUUAUAAUUAUAAGUAACGAAAUCUUUCUUCCAAUUCAAAAUCAUCUAUUAAACGUGAAUCAUGAAUGUGUAUAUAUAUGUUCAUACCCGGGCUACAAAUCUUCCAAGAAUCAGAAUCAGGCGGCGGUGCACUACUGACGGGGCUCCCAAAGGAAGAAGAGGGGCGGCUAUGAGGGGUGGAGACCGAUGACAGCUGGCGGUUCACGGCGAAAUAGAGGUCGAGAGCCGGCAAGGUGUUGCACAGUUUCUGGCCGUUUUCCUCGUUGAAUCCGAACCCUAAUUCUAUGCACCCUUUAAGCUCGUGAAGAUCAUCGUCCGUGACAUUAUCGUGAAAACUGUUCCUCCUAGUCCUCGUCCUCGUCCUCGUCUUCCCCUCUUGUCGCCUCUUUCUCUCCCAUGCAAUGUCUCGCGGCGCCUCAAACAUCGAUUGCUGCUUCGACAAACAACGCUUCCUUUUCUUCAAUGCCAAAUGUUGCAACUCUGUUUCUACCUGCUGGAACUGCACUUGUCGCUCUACUUCUCCCAUAUAUAUAUACAUAUGUAGUAUAUACGCAAAAGGCGCUAUUUAAUUUACUUUUUUGUUUUGUUGAAGAUGAAUGAAUGAAUAAUUUAGCUAUAUAGGAAUGUGUGGGCGGUGGUUGCGGCGGAGGCGGCCAAGAAAGAGAGAGGGUGGCUACCUCGCGCGCCCUGAAUGAUUGAUUAAUGUGAAACGGUGGAGAGUGUCUUCGAUGAAAUUAAUGAAUGGUCAAAGUGGAAAAUGGAGGGAGCUAAAUAGGAACUAUUAAAGGGGGUUUGAAUUUGGUGAUUGGUAUUCCACCACCCAUUUCUAUCUCACAACUUUAAUUAUAGGGGAAAUUCAAGGUUAGGAAUAUUUUCUAGACUCUACCUACAUGCAUUUGGAUAAAACUGCAUUUCUAAAUGAGAAUUUUUUUUAAGUUAUUUUUUAUCAUAUUUAAAUUUAUAUAUAAUUCUAUUCUAAUGAUAAGAAAUUUUAAAAAUUUUAUAUUUAUACUUUUUUAUUUUCAUUUAAUUUUGGUGUUAUUAUGUAUUAAAUAAAUAUUAUUUUUAAUUUUAAAAAUAAUUUCUUUCAGAAAAUAUAAAUUUUAUUUUCAAAAAACUCUCUUUAUCAUAUAAAUUUCUUCCAAUAUAAAAGAAACCGUUAAAAACAAUUUUUUUUUCACUUAAAUCCUUCAAAAAAAAUCUCUAUUAUUAAUUGAAAAUGCUCUAGGGAUAAUAUGCUCAUUGCAACUCAUCCAUAUGCAUGAUGCAUGCGUGUUCGUUCCACUACUAAAAUUCGAAUAUCAAUAACAAACCAACUAAAAUUGGAGUAUAUGUAAACAUAUAACAAAUCUUUUACAAGAAAUCUAAACUCUUACAAUUAAUGUCCUGAAUUAAAAUUUAUUUUUUUAGUCCCUCUCUUUUCAUAUAUCAAUAAUAAUAAUAAAUUCAUAAUAAUUUAUGACAAUUUUAGAUGUCAGAAUUUAAUUUUAUAAUUUAAAAAUCAAAUUCCAGUAAUUAAAAAUUGUCACAGUUUAAGAAUUGAAUAUUUUUUGUUUACCACGCUGAAGAGAAACUUAAAAAAUAUUUUACAAAUUUGGAGUACAAAAAAAAUUCUAGGAGACCAAUACAUGUAGACGAUCUUUAUAUUUAAGGUACUUAAUAUAUGAAAAAAUAUAUUAUUCAUAUACACUCAUAUUUCUUUAUUCAUAAAAAAAAACUGUACACUAAUUAAAAAAAUUGUUGUGUUCCGUCUGUUUGUUUUUUUUUUUGCUUAUUGUGUGCCGUGUGCCGUGUUUGUACGUAUACAUAUUUAGAUUUAGAAGUAUCUAAUGAACGAGUUUCUUUAUAUGGAAAUGGGACGAAUAAAUAUUAACAAUGGUCAAAAAUUAAAUUAAAUAAAAUAAUUGUAUGAAUUUUUUAAGUGAUGACAUGAUUUUUUUAUUAAAAAAACUUAAGUUUUAUAAGGACUUUUUUUUGGUGAAUUUUAUAUAGACUUUUUAAAAGCAUAUCAUUAUUUUUAUCCAAAAAUUAAAUAAAUAAACAAAACAAUUUUUUUUUAAAUUUUCACAUAUAUAUGUUAUGUUUAAAUUAAGUAAUCUCAUAUGAGGCAUGAAUAUUAAAAUGUGAACUCCUCUUAUAAUUCUAGCUUAAUGUGUGUAUUGUGAAUAAUUAAAAUAAAUCUAUUGUAAAAUUAUCACGAGAAACAAUUAUUAACGUCGUUUAAUGUAUCGUCGUAACAUAAUACUUUAUUAAAUAAUUUAUAUUAGAAGCAGGUCAUAAAUUCCUUAAAUACACAUAAUUUUUUUUAAGAAAUGGACAUAUAGGCUAAAUAUAGAGCUUAGACUCAUAUUUCAAAUUCAAGCCACGCUGCAACCAAUCCAAUUCAUUCAAUUACUAUUCUCGCUCCCCACCUUCCAUUCUCAAGUAUGAAAAGGAAGAAAAAAAAAUGUUCUCAAUUGAUCAUAAUACAAGAGAAAGAUAGAAAUUAAUUAACUUCAUCUCCUCCUCCUUCUUCUUGCCUGGUUUGGUACCUCCAACCCAGGUGAGCUUUUGGUUGCUAGAAUCUCCAUGGAUGAUUAGAAUGACUUGAAUAAACUCUAUAGCAUCCCCAUCAUCAGAGCACAAAGAAAUCCCAAGAAGCUACUUUCAUUGUUUUGGCGUACUGGAAAAUACUAUAUAUCUUGUCUUAUAAGUUAUAUGUCUUUGUAAUAUCUAAUCACCCACCUUUUUUUCUUUCCUGUACGGCCAAACCAAACGUAUUCUCCUUUGGAUUUUGUUUGUAAUCAUGCAAUAUUCCAGUGCAAAAGGUCUCUUGCUACGUCUUGUUUGCAGUAUCUUUGUUUUGUUGAAUGGCAUGCAUGCUGGUGUUGCAUGGAAUGAGGAGCCAGGUUCUUUGAUUUUGGGUUGUGGGUUGGAUGGAGGGGGUGCCAAAGAUGCUGAUGGAAGAGAAUGGAGCCCUGAUAACAAGUUCUUGGGGCCAGAAGGUGGUUCAAUCACAUCCAAAGCCUCUUACCAAGAUCCUUCUCUUAUGUCUGAGAUUCCAUACAUGUCAGCACGUGUUUUCUCAUCUGAGGCAACAUACAAAUUCCCCAUCCAACCCGAUAAGCGCUAUUGGCUCAGGCUCCAUUUUUACCCAGCCCUUUAUGAGAGUUUCAAUCCCUCUGACUCAUUUUUCUCCGUGACUGCAAAUGGUGUUACCCUCCUCUCCAAUUUCAGCGCCACAGCCACUUGUGAGGCCCUCUCACAGGCCUACAUUGAUAGAGAGUACUCCCUUGCGCCAUUGAAUUCAGAAGCCUUGACUCUCACUUUCAAGCCUUCUGAUAAAUACAAUGGCACUUUCGCUUUUGUCAACGGCAUUCAGCUCAUCCCGAUGCCCGAGUUGUUUGAUUCCGGAGAAUUGGUAGGGUAUGCUGACCAAACCACGGAUGUGAAGAGCUUGAAUCUGCAAACCAUGUUUAGGCUUAACGUUGGUGGACAGUACAUUUCUCCAAUCCAAGACUCUGGCCUUACAAGGAUGUGGUAUGAUGACAGGCCUUACCUUUAUGGUGGAGGCACUGGUGUCACCAACCAAGCCGAGAAGAACGUCUUAAUCGACUACCAGACCAUGCCAAAGUACAUUGCUCCUUCUGAUGUCUACUCCACAUCAAGAUCAAUGGGGCCUGACAAGGAUGUCAACUUGGGCUUCAAUCUCACUUGGGUCUUCCAAGUCGAUCCCAAUUCCAUGUACCUUGUUAGAUUGCAUUUCUGUGAAUACCACUACUCCAAGGUCAAUGAGAUUGCUUUCGACAUAUUUGUCAACAACCAAACGGCACAAGCUCAAGCUGAUGUGAUAGGAUGGACAGGAGGUAAGGGGGUGCCAACUUAUAAGGACUAUGUGAUAUAUGUCCAAGAUGGGGAGGCCGAUGACAUGCUUUGGCUUUCUCUUCACCCUUCACCUGACUCAAAGCCUGAGUUCUAUGACGCCAUACUCAAUGGAGUGGAAAUAUUCAAGCUCAAUGACACAGACUUGUCUGGUCCCAAUCCUCAGCUUUCGGAGAUGCUCCUCAAGCAGCAGAAAGAGGAUGAGGAAGCAGGCUUCAUUAGCCACAAAGCAUAUCAUAAGCAUGUUGUUAUUGGUGGAGCUGCUGGAGGUGCUGCUGGUUUAGCUUUUAUGGCUGCAUUGUUCCUUGCCGUGUACAACAAGAAGAAGAGAGUUCCGGGGUCAGAGGGUCACACAAGCUGGCUUCCCAUCUAUUUGAACUCACACAGCAAAUCCUCUUCGUCUGGGAAGAGUGUUACUAGCAGUGCCAACUUAUCUGCCAUGGCUCAAGGUCUUUGCCGCUACUUCUCCUUGCAGGAGAUAACGCAAGCAACCAAGAAUUUCGACGAGGCCAACGUCAUUGGGGUUGGUGGAUUUGGAAAGGUGUACAAGGGUGUCAUUGAUAAUGGAAUGAAGGUGGCAAUCAAGAGGUCGAACCCGCAGUCAGAACAAGGAGUUAAUGAGUUCCAAACGGAAAUAGAGAUGCUUUCCAAGCUGAGACACAAGCAUUUGGUGUCCUUGAUUGGGUUCUGCGAGGAAAAUGAUGAGAUGUGCCUGGUUUAUGACUUCAUGGCUCUUGGCACCAUGAGGGAACAUCUUUACAAGGGCAACAAGCCUAUGUCUACUCUAUCAUGGAAGCAAAGGUUGGAGAUUUGCAUUGGAGCUGCAAGAGGGCUUCACUACCUUCACACUGGGGCUAAGUACACCAUCAUUCAUAGAGAUGUCAAAACCACAAACAUUCUCUUGGAUGAAAACUGGAGUGCCAAGGUUUCAGAUUUUGGCUUGUCAAAAACUGGUCCAAACAUGAACACCGGUCAUGUUAGUACUGUGGUGAAGGGUAGUUUUGGCUACUUGGAUCCUGAAUACUUCAGGAGGCAACAAUUGACUGAAAAAUCUGAUGUAUACUCAUUUGGGGUUGUUCUGUUUGAAGCCCUGUGUGCCAGGCCAGUUCUCAAUCCUAGCCUUCCAAAGGAACAGGUUAGUCUUGCUGAUUGGGCAUUGCUUUGCAAGCAGAAAGGAACUCUAGAGGAUCUCAUUGACCCGUGUCUCAGGGGAAAGAUCAAUCCAGAAAGCUUGAAUAAGUUUGUAGACACAGCUGAAAAGUGCUUGUCUGAUCAUGGUACUGAUCGUCCCUCCAUGAAUGAUCUCUUGUGGAAUCUCGAAUUCGCUCUCAACCUGCAAGAAAACGUUGAAGGUGGUUCAACUCAUUCUGCUCGUGCUCAGGAAAGUGAUUUUGAAGAUGUAAGCUUGGGAGACAACGACAUGGCACGCCACUAUAAAAACUUAAGCCUUGGAAGUGACCUGGACCUUAGCGACGAUUCUAAUGAGAACCCGAAUGCCAUCUUCUCAGAACUUGCGAGUCCAAAAGGACGAUGAAGACAACAAAUAUGCUCUGGGUAUAUGGUUGUUUUGCUGUUGGGGAAACAGCUUCGAGCAUUCAUGGAAUUCAAGCAAAUAAAACCAGCUAGUUUGGGUUGCUUCAAAGUAUUUGUUGGGUUUCUAAUUUCUAUCCUUUUCUCCCCGCUAUCAUGAUUUUUAUUUUUAUGUACAUUAGUUAUUCUAUACCCUGUCUCAGUCUCUUUGUAUUAGACAGCACUUGGAUUACUUGUUGCUUGUCAAAUAUUAUUGAGACUCUGAUUCUUUACUAGCAUUGUAGAAAACCAGACCUAACCUUUUCUGGUUUUUGUAAAAUUCGAGUUGAUUUUAGUGCGUGCAAAAACGCUGUCUAAAAUCUAGAAAGAGUUGUUCGGUAGAGAAAUGUAAACAGUACUGUUUCUUAAUUUUGAAGGCAGGAGUUGCAUUCAAUACAGUUUCUAAUGAUUCAAUUUUUGUUCACUUUAACCUGAAAUCAGGAAAGAAAAUAUAUUUAUAAGGAUAUGAUAUGAGAAACAUGAUUUAUUAUCAUUUCAGGGACAAUUUUAUUCAUUCCAGGACAAUAAUAAUGCCACUGUCUCUUUCUUCAAAAGAGAUGCGUAAAUUACAAUUCUGUGUCGUUUCAUGUCAUCAUGUGGCUGUUGAGGGAGAUAAGGCCCCUCUUCACCCAAAGGAAUGUUCAAAUUUCAAGCUAUAUCUUACAUUGAGAAUUGGGAAGCUUUCAGGGGGAUUUCCUUUGCAUGGAUAUGAAGUGAAUUUUCUGUUACCAGAUGAGAGACCUUCAUGAGCACCAAGGACUACUUGGCAAGCUCGUAUGCUUGGCCUUCAUUCAUCUUUUCUUCUGACCACAAACCAGGGAAUUAUCCAAUAUCAUGGCCUUCCAGUGGUUGAAACUCAUGAUUUAAACCAACAGCAAACUCUCCAGGGUCAGUUCCGGGGCUUUGGGAAUAGUCUGCAAUCUGUGUCAAAAAAAUGUCCAACCCAAUUUUGAAUGAAAAAUAAUGAUUUUAAAUCACUUCACAAUAGAGUAAAACUGAAUUACUUAGGCUGAAGAUGUCCAAUUAACAUAUUUAAAAAUUCUGUGCAAGACAAAUGACAAUAAUUGACUUGUGAAAGUGAAAGUGGCAUACAUGGUUCGCUAGAGCAAUUCCACUUAAGACGGCUGCCUCUAUAUUAGAACCUAGUAGCCAAUCACCACAUAUCCCAGCCCUUCCAAAGGGAUCAAAGAUACAUGGAACUCCAUGUGUAUUAGUUGGAAAAACUGCACCCCUGCAAAUUUCAAUGAAAUAAAUUUACAAGCAAUGUUCAAGACUAACCAAUAUGAUAUUUCAGUACUUUAAGAUUGUUAAAUAUUAUAUCCCAUCUGGUUUGUCGAGGAUUGAGCUGUGUCUUAGAAUAUCAAAGAAGAAACGCUACUGAGGGAGCACACAUAGUUAACAAUUUUAUUGUCAAGCAACUGUAUAAUGUUAGAAGUCACACCAAUAUUAUGGUCAAAUGAGUUCAUAAUUUCUCUGUACCCCUUCCAAAAUGGCAGGCUCCACCCUACUAAAAAUAGACAUUAAUAGUCACAUCCUCAUCCUCCAGUACAAGAAUAAUACUUAUCAUUUGUUAUGACCUUCUCUUUUAACUUGAUAUGAUUCAAGUAAACUGCUAAUUUUUUCAAUUUUAUUAAACGAUCUUGUUUUCUUCUGCUGUUCCCUUUUUCUUUUUAAUAACCCAGUUACUUCAUGCAUAGACUACACAUGCAAAAUACAUAGCUUGAAAAUUCUAGUUCCCAGUUACCUAGCAUAGACAAGAAAAAACUCUGUACCCCUAACUUGGUCAAAGCUAAGGAAGGACAUUGCAAAGCAACCAACACAAUACUUCAAGAUACGACUCUUACCAUAGUUGAAGUCUGGUAUAAAAAGGUUUUGGAAGUGACCCUUUUGAUAAUCCAAGGGCAGAUUCAACACCCUCUAGCAUUCCUGCCUUUACCGAUGAGGGCGACGAGGGGGUCAUCGGAGAGAGGAGCGGUGAAGGUGACUUGCUCUUGGCUGAAGGAUUUCUUCAGAAUGGACCUUUUAGAAGUUCCGUAGGAGGAUUUCCUGCGGGUUUUGGAGGGAGAGAGUUCUUGUAUUUGAGUUUCCAUCGUCACCAUGCCAUUCCAGCUCUUGAGACUCAAACCUCAUCCAUUUAUUUUAGUUAACACAUCGAUUUUUCAGAUUAACAUUACCGCUUCAGCAGGUGAGCAUUUGAGCGUGCCCCAAAUUAUUGUUCUAGCAAAAACAAGACUUGUUUUACUCUUAUUAAUAAUCUUCUUUUUUUGUCUCUUUUUUCAACUAUGCUACAAAAAUAUGUAAAAAUUAAACCUAAAUGCAUUUUGGACAACGUGUAAAUUUUAUUUGCGAUAUAUGGGUAAUUAUAAUUUUGUGUUAAAAAGCAGCAAAAAGAAUUGUAUUAGAAAACUAUUAACCAGUUAGUUAUUUUAUAUCAAGCAAGUAUAUAGCUCUACAGUGGUAUAGCUACUAGUAAAAAAAUAUGUAGGUGCCUAGGUGGAGGAAAUUUCCUGUUAAGAGAAAAUCUUGUGUUGUCACGGAAAAAUCCUGUGUUUGCUAGAGUUUGAACUUUGAACUCAAAUUUUACCGAAAAAUUAAUACUCUCUUUAUUUCUAAUUAUAAUUAUAAGAUCUUUUUAAUUAAUUAUGUUUUUUAAUUAAAAUAAUUAUUACAUUAAAUUUAUCAAUUAUUUUUAUUAUGAUUUCAAAAUUAUUUCUUCUCUCUCUAUCCAUUUACUUAUUUAUCAUUAAUGUUUAAAGAAAAAAUAAUUAAAUAAAGAUAUAUAUAAAAAAAUAAUUAAUACAUCUAAAUUUUUUUAAAAAAAAUCUUACAGAAAAAACAAAUAAAUUUUUAAAAAGUCUUAUAAUUAAAAACAUUGGGAUAUUUAUUUUCUCAAGAUUAAUUAACAUUCAUACAAAACAAUAUGUAAUGCACCCCGAUGAUGAUAAAAAAAAAAACAAGCAAACAAACAAAUCUAAGCUGAGUUCUGGAUUAAUCAAAUUGUAGAAAUAUCCAUUGUUUUAACAAGUAUCACUAGAUCAAGAAUCAAGAUUGAAGAUGUGUUGUUCUACUAAGUAAUGCCAAAUCCUGAAAUCCAGCUCCUAUUACCACCUAAUUCUAAGUUAUAGAUCCUACAAAUAAAGGAAUAUAUUUCAUAUAAAUUUCCCUAACCAUGUCUGGAGCAAUCUGAGGAUAUCAAAUUUCGUACAUCGGUACAUACAUCUUACAUUAACUAUUUUUUAUAUAUAAAACAAUGCUGCCGAUAUAACUUACAAAACAUAUACACUUCCAAGUUUAAAAAAAAAAAAAAAACAAGCAAAUCACAUAAAAAUGUCAGUCCGGAUGAAAAGAAAAUUAGGCCAUCUUUUCUGCAAAGUAUCCAUCUGUUAAGACAAUGAAGGCUAUUUUCCUCUCAGCUGGAGGUCAGUAAAAUCCUGGGAAGCUCAUGAUUGGACCGAUAUGUCCGCAUUUGUCUGCUCAGUGAUUUUAGGAGGAGCUGUUUUUGUUUCCUUAUCCAGUUUUGGUCGUUCUUUGGUUUUGCUAGUGCCAUUGCUGUUGCGUCCAGUGACCAGGUCCUUGUUUUUUGGAGGGACAAGGCUACCAUGUUUUGGGUUAUUGCCAACACUGUGACGUCCUCGAGAAGAAAUUUCUGGAAAUACGCCAGCAGCAUCACCACAGCUCCUUCUCCGGGACAGUUUUGGUGACUUGGGGCGAGUCAGUGGCAGCUGCUAUCAAAGGAAAGGGAAUGAAGAUUUUUACUAACUGAUUAAUGAUGGCUAUUAGCAAAUUUGGAAAGAACUAAAAAUGAUAUGAUCAUGGCAAGGCAAUUUUGUAUUCCUGAUUUUGUCAUGCAUUUUAACAUUCCUAUUGUAUUACUCGUUUGGUCUAUUCGUGCAUACUCUAAGAUUCUUAAUUGCAAUUCAUAUGCAUCCUGAGACUUGGAAAAGACAGAUGGAAAAGAAAAAAGAGUACCUUCUUGAGUUCAGUCUUGGGGGGUGGCCCCUCAUAGUAGAAGUUUGGUACUGGUUUUGCCUUGACGACCAGGUUCUUUCUCAACUGUUUAAUGGCUGCAUCUUCCUCUUCCUAUACAUGUUAUUAUUAUAUAAACAGCCAAGUUAUUUAAUCAAAUCAAUAUGCAAAAGGUAAUCAGGAAUGAUAAACAGAAAUCAAGUCACCCAUGUACAUGGGCAUGAAACUUGGCUAAAGUGAUUAGACGUUACAAGAACGAGGGGAGACAAAAAGAAAAGAAAAAAGUGAAAUAAAAAGCCAGACAUGGGUGGGUGGGCCAGCAGCAGACGGUGUAAAGACCACUAUACCUUUUUCCUUGCCUCAUACUGGUUUUUUUCUUCUUCAAGAGCUCGAUGUUUCUCCUCUAACUUCAGAUAAAACUGGAUAGAAAAAUCAAAGUGGCAAUAAGAACAAAAAACACAAAAUAGAUUCAACUGAUAACACCAAAGUUGCUAACCAGGAACAAACAACUCCAGAAUAUACAGCAGAAUUAAAUAUUUAGUAAAACAUUACCUCCCUCCGUUUCUCUGCACGAUCCGAGCAUCUAAAAGUAGGGGCUGAACCUACAGUUACCUUAGAUUUGGCAGUGCGUGCAGAUGCAACGCUACUAAUUAUGGUUAAAGAACAAAUGAAAAUAAGCACCAUAUUACAUCUAAUAUAGGUAAAAUGUGGGUCUAUUUAGAGAGUUCCAAAUAGUUCUUUUUAUUAAAUUUCAUAAAGGAACUUUUUGAUAUUUAGUAGUAUUCAGUAUGGAAGAUUUCAAGUUUUUUUCCAAUAUACCUAAAAAUUGAUCUGGUCAGAAUAAACAAUCAAAAUGUUUAAGUUUUGAGGAUACGAGGAAGCAACAGACCAAUUAUCUUCAUCAUCAUGGUGCUUCUUAUCAUCAUGAUGCAAGGACUUCCUUGGUGAAAAAGGUGAGCUUGGCUGAAAAAGAAAAUGGAAAAGAUUUUGCAUAUAAGUAAUCUCAUUAAACACACACACACACACUAUCUCACACACAAAUAGAAAUGCAUGCAAUUGCAAAGCAUCCCUACAAGACAUAUAAGCAGGUUAAGGUAAUUCCUUUACAUAGAGUUUAUAGCAAUAGAGAAAAUUUUCCAAAACAAAAUAGUACUUUUUAUUGGUAGCCAGUUUUGCUAAGUCUUUGGUUGAAGAACUUUUAAGACAUUCGAUCUGAAUUAAAGUAGAAUGUAUUUAUUAGGUAUCGACGUAUGGUAUUGAGUUUCGCAAACAUUUUUUGGUACCAACUGCAUUUGAAAUUGACCCAGUGCAACCUGUCAAAUAUAGUCUCUCGAUUCUCUCUUUAGCAGUAACCAGGUGUGAUUUAAAUUUAGUGUUUUAUAAGGAGUCUCACAGCAAUAAUUAACUUUUUAAACAGUGGCAAGAGGGAAAACAAAUCUCUGGUCACAAACAUAUAUCAUGCAAAUAACCAUGCAUUAAAAACAAAAGGCAGAUCCUAGUUCUGCUACUCUUUAAAACUUACACUUCCUCAAUUCCUAUUGUGCAAUUGGAAACAAUUCAAUGUAACAAUUUUCAUACACAACAUAUAUUAGGACCAUUUCACAUACUUGACUUGGUACUCACAUAAAAAUAUCAGCUGCCCAAACUUAAAAUGAUGACACAAUACCUCUGAAUUCUUAGAGGAAUUAGGCGACUGUAUAUUGUUAGAUUUAGGAGAUAAGUUCACACCACUUGCAUCAGCUUCAGUAUCAACAGCCUGUGCAUGGGUGACAUGCUUUUCAGUAACCUGAUCAGAUGGCUGUGGAGCAGAGGGGCUUGGAACCUGAUCAGAUUUCUCAUUCUCCUCUUCUGGCAAGCCAGCAUUUAAUUUUGUGUUUUUGGCACUCAAACUAUCUUUCCUCUCGUGAUGUUUCUCAAACGAAUUAGCUUCAGCAGAUUCCUUUAUCUCAUGAUCCAUUGCUUGAACCAUUGCUGCAAUUUUGGGAGAAACACGCAUUCUAUCACUUAAACUGCCAUUUGAAGCCGCUAUGGCACCAUUUGGCUUCUUUUCCAUAACCUGUAUGCCAGUAACUUCCCUUCCCAUAACACUGCACGGUAUAAGUUGCAGGGUAAGUAACAAAACAUUUUGAAUAGGUAGCUUAUGUUGAUGAAGAAAAUAUAUGCCUUUGACAUGCAAAGAAUAAAUUUAAAUAUGUCUAUCAGAACAAGAAUAGAUUAGAAGAUUGUGAUAUAUAAACAUUCUCUGGCUACAGGAGCAGAUCUCUUCUACUAGCCCCUAAAACAUGAUAUACAUUAUUGUCUACAAAAGCAAACAGAUGAAGAAAAUAACAUGAGGCAUCUCUACAUAUCCCAGAGCUCAAGGGUCAAGACAAACUAUAUCACGUGUAACAAAUCAAAUUCUUUCUUCACGGGGAGAGUCCACUUACUUUAGGAGUAAGUCUUGGAUAUAUAGAGCGUAUUAGGCGACGGCAUGAAAAGUGCUAAUCUCGAUCAUUCCAUCCUGCUUAAAUAUAACUAACUAUAUAUGUAAGGUCAAAUGAUCAAGAGUAGCUCUUCUCGCCUCUCAUGUUGUUCUAACUUAAUAUGCUCCUUACACACACCUAUCCCUGAAUCUCUACGGUGCCAAAAACUAGUUCGCUAAUAUUUGCUACCCCAAACCAAGAAAGAUGGCAAUAAAAAUAAAAAUAAAAAGGAAAGAAAGAUACAAAUAUAAAAAUACAAAACAACAGAUCUAAAAAAGCAAAAAAGGGGAACAAAGGUAUUUCAAAUAAAAAUAAGAAAAAAAGGCAAAAAAAAAAAAAAACAUACGAUGGAGGUAUAUAUAUGAAAUAAGUUGCAAUGCAAAAAGAAUUAAAAAUUAAAUAAAAAUUUAGCUAUCGAUUUCUGGACAAUCAGAUAGAUGACAAUUCGCUAGUAAAAAGGAUGAUUUAUUGCAAUUAAGUUUGAAGAGAUAUAGGAGACCCUGAAAGCAUCUUGUGGCCCAAGCUAAGCUGACGCCAAUAGGGAAUUAAUCUCGCGCACAACACCCUGUCUGAAAACAAAAAAAAUGUUUUUCUAGCAGAAACUCUUCAUAUGAGUAUAUCCUUUAUGUGAUUUUGGCCAUUUUAACAAGCACUCCGAAACCUUUUUGUUUAUCAAUUUUUUGAAGAAAAAAAAAACGAUUCUGAAUGUGUUUUGACUUGUCACCGGAGAAAAGCGGUUAAGAGAGGCAUUUGAAGGUAUUAUUCCGGGAAUAACAGCAGAGUCAUUCGGAAAAACGCAUGCAAAUUUUAACUAAGACCCGGGAAAAAAAAAAAGGCAAUUCCAACGUGGUCCAAGGACGAAAAAUAUACACAAAAUCUAUUUAAAUGGAAAUAGAAAUAAACCAAAAAAAAGUCCAUUAAGACAACGCUUAGGUUCGGCUUAGCUUCGAUUAACUAAGAAAAGCAGGAACACUAUGAACAUGACAUAAGCAUCGAAAUAGAUCUCCGAAAUAGGAAAACAAAAGAGGCACAUUGCAGAGGUAUGAGAAAAGUGAGGAAGAAAGAAACGCACCACAAAGCAAUCUCGGUGGCAGUUGCGGUUGCGUUCCGAUCUGACAAGAUCUCGAGACUCAAGGCUCCUUUGUCUUCUGUAGCUAGCUACGUGCGAAAUCCAAAAUUUAUGUAUAAUUAUUCCUUUUCUUUUCCGAUUAUGAGUGUUCCUUGGUUGGUUAUAUAUAGAGGCAUUUCACUCUUUAAUUUUUUAACCGGGUGUUAAAAUGAGAGUCAGAUUUCAACAAUGUGACGUUGGAGUCAAAUGGAAAACAACCCUCGGCCCCAAUUUUCAAUCCAUUCCAUAAUAAGGUGGAGAAAAUGUGAGACAAGGGACAAACACCACACACGUGUAGGGUCCUGUGUGGAAGUUGCAUGACCCCAUUCUUAAGGGCUAAGCUCAUAUAUCCGUACCAAACUUUAUAAUAGACACCUUUUUUUUUUAAACCAAUUCUAACUACUACUUAUUCACCCAAUAUAAUGAAUAUAUCACAUAAUGUUUGUUUAUAGAAAAAAGUUUAACAAUUUCUAUUUUUAAAAUAAUUUCAAUAAAAGUUAACAAACUUUUAAUAUAUUACAUUAAAUUUGUCUAAAUAUAGUGUCGUGUGCAUUGUAUUUGAAUCCGGAUAAAGAUAUUAUAGAUAAGUAACAUAACUUUAUAUUAUUAAAUCAAAGGUUUCAUUAAUAACUAUAAAUAAUAUGUUUAAAAUAUUAUUAUUCAUAUUAAUUACUUAAAAUAUAUUUUUUUUUGUUUUUAAUAGUAAUUAUAUCAGUUUCUUAGUGUGCCUAAUAAAGACACAAAAUAAUAAAAUCCUCAAAUUAAUAAUGAUAAACUCUUAAUAUUAUUACUAAAAAAAUAAAAAUAUUUUAUUCCUUCUUGUGGAGUUUUCUGUUUGUAAUCAUAAAUGAAAUAAUAAAUUAAGUGAUAACAUGACAUAUAGUUAUGUCUGUAAUCACAUUAAUAAUUACAAUCAUAUAUUCCUAAUCUUCAUCUUUUUAUAAAAUUUAACUUUAGUCCUCAAUAGUUUUUUAAUAAUUUUAAUUCCUUAGCAAAAAGAUUUAUCAUUCUUAGUCGCUCAACAAUUUUUUAAACCAAUUUUAAUUGUGUUUCACCUUUUGUCUAUCAUUGGUUUUAGUUCUUCUCAUAAAGUGUUAAAAUCCAUAAUUAUUAAUAUAGUCAAAUAAGUCAAAUAAAAUGUCAAAAUAAGAUAAAAUAUUAUGAACAGUAUUGAAAUCCUGUUACUCUGUUAUCUAAUUUUUAAAAAAAAACUCACAUCUCAUAAAAAAAUAAAUACAAUUCACUUUAUUCUAUGUUUAUUUAAAUUAAUCUACUAAGAAUGAUGAAUAAUUAUCAUGGUUUUCAACAUUACUUUAUCGUAUUCUGCAACUUCUGUUAAUCAUUAAAAAAUUAACUAAAAGUAUACUUAAAUUCAUGAUGAUCCUUUAUAGUAAUGCGGUUUGUCUUUUAGAUUAUGUAUUUCCUUAAGAAAAUUCUUUAAUUAUCUCUCUGUCUCAAUUUUAAAAAAGAUAAGAACGAUACCUAUCACAUGUGGACCGUAACUUAUUUAAUGGACAAACCAUAGGAUCAUCUUUGGAUAUUUCUAUUCUGGUCCAACCCAAAAAUAGAAUUACCUUUUAGUUUUUACACAUUAAAGACCUAAAUUUUAUCAAAUACAUUAAAGUUCAAAUUACUCAAACGUUACUAUAACACUUUUAAUUGAGCUUAACGUCAAGUGACAAUCCAUAUACAUAACUAUUCACAUAUAAAAUCAAACGUUGGAUUAAGAAUUCCAACAAUGCAGACUGUUUUUUUUUUUCAAGUGUGCCUGCUCAUUUUGUUUUCACUGUACUCUCUUACUUUUUUUCUACGACAAUGCAAAGCACCAAUGAACUCUUAUAGUUUAUUUAUCCAUCUGUCUAUAUAUUAUAUUUAUUAAAAUAUUUUUUAAACACGAAAAUAAAUUAAAUUAAAUGUAAAUCUAAAACAAAAACGAAUGUCAAUUUUUUUAUAAGAAAAAUUAAUAAGUUUAGCACAAAACUAUACUUAGAGAAAAAUCAUAAAUCCUGAUUUAAUCUCCCAGUUUCUCCCUUUUUCAUGCCUUUUUGCAAAGUCAAAAAGAUUGAACCGUUCGUUUAGAAAAGUUAGCCUUCGCAUUUAAUUAAACAUCCACUCUAACACGCUGUCUCAGUACAAUAGUAGUACCAUACAAUCAUUCAAUUAUAUUAAUGUUAAUAUCUUACUAUUGACAAUUUAGUUUUUCUAAUCAAUAAACAAACCUUUUGGUCUUUGAUCUUUAGCGUCCCUUCCUCAAGAAGUGUCAAUCUAUAACUAUUAACCUGGAUUAAUUUUUUGAUUUAAGACAUAUCUUGAUGCUGUUAUCAUUAUAAUUUAGACGGAGAUAACAAGGAAAGUCCUAAAUAAAACAGUCAAAGUCGUACAGGAGAAUUCGGCCAUGGUUCAUUUUGCUUAUUUUUUUUAUCAUAAAAUGGGGACCUCCUGUGUCCCUAUAGGGCUAGCUAUAACCUUAAUUUUGUUAGUCACUUUAGGAUAUUAAUUCCCCUUCUUUUUUCUUUCCCCGUCAACAAAACAAUAGUGUAACAACGAAUUUAUAGGUUAUAUGUGGUGGUAAUUAUGAGAGUGGGGAACUAAAGAGAAAAUAUUAGAAAUGUGGCCAAAUCAUCUAUCUUUUAUUUAUUUAUUAAAUUUAGAUAUGGACAUAUUAAAAAAUUAUCUUCCGUUUAAAUGAUAUUAUUUUCUCUCUCUUAAUUGUUAACUUUGUGUAUGUCAAAAGGAAUGAAAAAUGAAACAAGUGACUAAACACAUGAGUGGAACCUAGGCACGGGAAAUGCCCAGCAUAUAUAGGUGGAGUUUGGAUUGCAUAUACAUCUAUUUAAUUUUCUUGUUUUAAAAGGCUAGCUAUGGGGUCGUGUGCUUUCAACCCCCUAAUUCUUGUAUGGUUCAUUAACCGUCCUUGUCGACAGCAUCAUUUUUUUUAUUUAUUGUUCAUGGUUACGUGAAGGAAUGACAAUGUAGGCUUUAUUAUUCUAAUUGAUCACUUUAAUUUAUAUAUAAAAGUACUAACAACACUUUAACUAUCAAAUCAUUUUUCUACCUCAACCGACACUCCCCCCUCUCUUGAAUAAGUUAUACAUUCAUGCAACCUGAAACACACACACACAGAAUAGAUCGUUGAUGGAACGAAAAUACAAAUUUAAAUAAUUUCAAGAGUAAUUUUGUGGAGAGCCUAUAAGCAUGUUUAGGAAGACGUUAAAGCUUGUUUUUAAAAGUUUUAUAUGUGAUUUUGUACAAAAUAAUCACAUUUUGUUGUUAUUUUUUAGAAUUAAGUUUUCUUUUAAUUAAAAGUAUGCUUGACUAAUAUAACUUUUUUCGUUGAGUUAAUAAUUUUAUUUUAAAAUUUAUUUCAAGACUUGUGUUUGAGGUAAAAACGGUUAAACAUUAUAUCAUUGCAUUCAAAUUCAUUUUUCAAUCCAAGUUAAUUUUAUAAAAUCAAAAUUAUUUAAAAUUAAACUUUUUUAUAUUUAUUAUUAAGGGUGUUCAUAGGUCCGGAUUGACCUUUGACCUAACACAAUCUAAGUAUUUGGGUCAGGCCUAAUUUAAUCCAAUACUGACUUAAUUAUAUUUGAGUUGGACAAUAUUUUGUGAAUUCUCAAUCCAUGACUCAACCUGACCUGAUCAUAUAAUAAUAAUAAUAAAAUAAAAAAAUACUAAUAAGAAUAUAGCAAAGGCUAAAUUAUAAUUUUGGUUCCUCCAAUUUUUCAAAUUCAUGAUUUUGAUCCUCCUGAUUUUCAAUUGUAACAUUUGAUUUCCCAAUUUUAUAAAUUAAUGAUUUUGGUCUUCUUGAUAGAUUAUUAACAAAUAAUUCCAAUUAAUAGAAUUAUUAAGUUAUUUAAAAACUUUAAUAAAAAAUUAUUGACUCUAAUUUUUCAUGACAGUGUGUUUCUCCUUUAUCGUUGCAUGCGAGUCCACUGACAACAACACCACAUUAAGGUUUAUAAUCUUUUAUUAAAGUUUUUGAAUGAUGAUUAACAAUUUUUAUUUAAUUUAUAAUUAAUUUAAUAACUCCACUAAUCAUAAUUAUUAGUUAAUAAUUUGUUGGGAAACCAAAAUUGUUAAUUUAUAAAAUUAGGAGGCCAAAUGAAAAUUUGAAACCUACAUUAUAAUUUAACCUAUAAUAAAAUACAAAAAUAAAAAUAAUGAAAAUUUGAAAUUUCUUUAUGUAAAAUAUAUGCAUAUUAUAUGUAAUCAUAUUGUACAUUUUAAAGAAAAAUAUUUUAAAAAAUCUCUUCUAAAAUUUUUAAUUUUAAAAUUUCAUGACUCCAUCGAUCCAAUCUGUCUCAAUCCAAUCAUGAUAGAGUUAAGUUGGAUUAAGUUCGACAACAAAAUUAUUAGAAUUCUAUUCAACCCAACUCAAUCCCAAAUUUUUUAAUUGGAUUAGGUGAUUGAUUUUUUCAAAUCUGGUUUAAUCUGGUUAGUAUAGAAUUCUGUUUAUCGUGUUAAAGAAUUGAAUAUUUGAUUUUCUUUAAAUAAUAGAGAUGUUUUUCAACUUUUUCUUUUAAAUUGAGAGUGUAUGUUGCUGAGUGAAUCUUGAUAAUCACUGGUUUAUUAAUUGGCGGAAUAUUAGAUAAUCUGAUUUUUUUUAAUGAAUCCUUAUGUCUUAAUUUUUGACUUUUCGGAAAUAUAUUAGCUAAUGAAUUAGUUGUUGUUCUCCUAUCCAAACACCAAUUUAAUGUUAAUAAAUUUAUAAAAACGGACUCGUUAUUUCACUGGUCACAUAUUCAGCAAUAUUAUAGACGAUACUUACGGUCACAUAUCUUUGGCAGUUCACUUUCAUUUUUUAUAAUCGUGCACCGACUAUAUAGUAUAUAUGACGAAAUCUAUGGUCCCCACAAAUGUUCAUUCGUCCAGUUUGUUCUCACGAUAAGUUUGGACUUUUAAAAUUUUUUCAUUCUUUAUUCUGUGGGAUAAACGUAUAUGGUUAUUCCAUAUUUAUAAACAUAAUAAUUCUAUAUAAACUCCACAGUCUAUACAAUGAAUCGUAAUUAUCAAGACAAGACGUGGAAGCUUAACUGAUAAAAUGAUUAGUCAAUUGUCUCGACAAAAUGAUAAAUUUAGCAAAGGCCAAUCUUAGAAAAGAUGGAGACCUAACUACCAUUUCUGAUUUUCACUCAUUGUCAACUUUCAUCAACUUGGGGUCCCGUGCUAAUGUCCAACCAAUCACACCCUCGAUAUCUCAGCCGAAAUAGAUUUAGACGUUAAACGGACCAAUGCGUACAAUUAAAACAACAAAUCAAUAUUUAGUGUCAAUCACAAAGGUAUUGGAAUUUUCUCCAAAAACAAAAGGUAUUCGAUCCCGCAUCUUUCUUCCCGUAAUAAACCAAUCAUAUAUUAUCAAAUUUGAGAGUUUAUACUACACAUAAUUUUGAUAGAUUGCCAGAAAUAAUCAUGAUUUUGUUUGGGAAGAUUCCAUAUUCCCAUCAACAAUCAAACGUGGCUUAUAUUUAUCCAAGCUUGAGCAGGUGAGAGCAUAUAUUGAUCAGUUUAUGCGUCCAUAUUAUAUAAUGCAUGUUCACUAAUGAUAACAUCUUUUCUCUAUGUUAAUGUUGCAGUCUAUGAUCAUGAAUCACAACUUGUUUCUUGAUUUAUAGAACUCAAUUGAUUAUUAACAAAACUAGUUUGAGCCGUACAAAUUCAUAUUAUUUUUAAGAAUUUGAGUUAUGCAGAAGUUCCUCAUGAAUCAAUAGGCUCGUUCUAAUAAUGAUUGUACAAUAGAAGUAGCAAAACUUCUUUUUGAUGUGAACUCAAGAUUUUAUGGAGAGAAAGAAGAAAGAGAAAGAUGCAGGGAGAAAAAACAGCUUGAGAUUAAAUAAAAGUUACCAAAUAAAAGUAACUUAUCUGAUUUUAACAAGCACUGAAUUAAUUUAAAAAUAUUUUUCUAAAUUAAUUAAUUAAUUAGAAACGUGAAAUUUUUGAAAUAUUCAAUCAAAAUAUGCAACACUUUAUCCUCUUUUUUUUUUCUUAGUUAUUUUGUGUUCAAUUCUAUAAUUGGGAUUGCGGGUGUGAAUGCUCUGCUUGUACACUUCAUAAUGGAUUACCACAAAGAAAAGGACUGAUAAUUCAAAAAGGCUUUAUGAGUUUAUUUGGAUUAUCACACAGAAAAGGACUAAUAAUGAAAAUGGCUUUAUGGGUUUAUUUGGAUUAUCAUAAAGAAAAGGACUAAAAAUAAUUCAAAAAAAGCUAAAUGGGUGUAUCAUUUGUAUGGCUCCACGGAAUAGAGCAUUUCAACGAAUGAAAUGAAUUUGGGCCUACACUUCCGCACGCAAAGAAAAUAAACUCUACUUCGGCCUUUAUGUUGAAGGGACCGUGAUAAUCAAAGAGAAGCUACGAUAAUUUUUUUUUAAAAAUAUUUUAUUAAUAGGGAAUAUUCAUUGAUAUCAUUUGGAUCUAAAAUCUUAUUUUAAGAGUAUUGAAUCCAGUAGCAUUGGAACUAACAAAUUGAGUUGGUAAAGCUACGUUAAUUUAGAGAAUGCAACUUUCCUUUGAGAUGGAGACCCCGUGACUGAUUUUAUUAUUAUGUGUCUGGACCACCACGAAUAUACGCCAAGUAAAGUUAUGAAAAAGAUUAUCACAACUAUAAUGUUGGGACCUUGUUUUGCUAUCGUUGCAUAUGAACGCCUGUUUUGUAAAGUUAAGAGUCAAUAGCACCAUAAGAGACAAUUGAUUCAUUCCCUUUCUUUUCAUUGUAUGUAUCUUUAAUUUAGGGAAAGAAAAGAAAAGUGCACAUUAUAUACAUUGACGCAAUUGCAUAAAUGGUCCCUUGUUUUAGCUACGACCUUGCACACGCAAUCAGGAAAAGUAACAAAACAUUUGUAACACGUGCAACAUUCGUCCUCCAAUCAUUCAUAUUAUUAGACAUGUCAUAUGUGAUGCCAUUUCUUCUUAUAAAAAAGAUCUAGGAUAACAUAUCUAAUUCCUUUUUGUAAUUUUGUUUAGUUCGAAUGAUAUGAUCACUUUUUUAUAUGCUAGAACAAUGAGAAAAAAAAAUAUAACUUGUUUGGUUUAAGAUAAUAUUUUUGUUGUUGUUACUAAUUGUCAUAAUGCUAUUUAUUUAUUUUUAUUUCUUUUCAGUGUCCAAAUUCUCAUAUAGAAUUGAUGUAAUAAAAAUUAAUGACCACAAAAAACAUUUUUACCAUUUUCUGAUGCAAAUGUUUAGAAGUAAGAAAUAGAACACUUUUAUACAGUUAUAAAAACAAAAGAUUCUAAACUAAACAGGUUCUCAAUUUUCUCACAACGAUUGUAUAACCCAUCCCUUCUAUAAAUAUUAAAAAAAAAAAAAAGGAUUAGGCGGAAGACACGCCUCCUUGCAAAGUCAAGAAAGGAAGAUCACAAACUUCUACUAAUUAAAAGGUUAUAAUAGAAUUGACAUUUUAAGAUUUAACAAAUUAAACACAUAAAAAUAUUGGAUGAUAUGGUGAAAGUGUUUGUUCCUUGUCUAUAAUUUAAAAUUUAAACACGUGUUUUUUUUCCGAAAUGGAAAAUUUAAACACAUGUUAGGGGAUUAUAAAAGGUUAAUUUUUCAUAAAUUUCUUAAGCUUAACAUAGAAAACUUUAUAUAGAUGAGAAGGCAAACGAAGUAGAAGCAAUGAAGCCUUCAAGGCCUGUUAGCCCACGCAGGGCAUAGCCCAUUAAAGAGUUUGCAAUGAAGGCAAAAAAAUAACGACCAUGAAGAGUUUUUUUCUCUUUCCUCCUAACAAACGCUGCCACGUGUUCUCUUCUUUUUCUAUAUCAUUCUUGCUGAUUCAACCCAAUUCUUCUAUUUUACCUUCAUACAUACAAUAUUGAGUAAUCACAAUGCCCACCACGGUUGCUGUCUCCGUACCUCAAAAUCAAAACACUAACCAUGGAGUCGAAUCCCCCAAGAAGAACAAAAUUCAGGUUUCUAACACCAAGAAACCCCUUUUCUUUUACGUCAAUCUUGCCAAGGUAAAUGUGUUCUUUGAUUUUUUAUUUUUUUUUCGUUUUUGGUCAUUGUACGUAAUUAGUUAAUUCCUAAUCCAUUGAAAUUUCUUUCAUUUUUAUUAUUUGAAAGUGUAUGAUACAAGUUAGUUACAUUUAUUUUCUUGGAAAAAAGUGGUUUCUUAAAUGUUCUCAUUGCCUAGAUCUGCAACCAAGACUAUGAUAUUAUUAAAGGAAACGUUGUAGAUGCGGUCAAAAGAGUUAAUUAGAAAAGAAAAAAAAAAGGGUUAUAUUUGAAAGCAACAACAUUCUUUAUGCAGUCACUGAAUUUGUUGUUUGGAUUUCUGAAUCGGAUAAUUUAUCAUUAAUCUCAAUGGCUCACACAUUUCUCAAAGGCUUUUUUAUUUUUAAUUAUUAAUUUAUUAAUGAGAAUGAUUCGAAUUCAUGAGUCGAUGAUCUAUCCCUUCCCUUUUUCUCUUUUAACUAUCAAACCAACCUUAUUAAAUUAUCCCAUAGAUGGAUCGUAUGAGUAUAAAACUAAAAUGGUUUCUGCUUUUAUAGAGGUACAUACAACAGCGCAAUGAGGUUGUGCUUUCUGCUCUUGGAAUGGGUACUUUUUCUCUGAAACUUGUAUUUUCAUUGAUUUGUCUUUGAACAAAAAACCAAUCCUUCUUCAGUGUAUGAAUUGCAGAAAAGUUAUUAUAAAUAUAAAAAUGGGCAUUUUUAAUGCUAUUUACUUCAUAUCAUGCGUACAGGUAUAACCACAGUUGUUACAAUUGCGGAGAUUUUGAAGAACAAUGGACUUGCUAUUGAGAAGAGUAAGAUUUCUUCUUGAAUGUCUCAUUUACAAUAUGGUUAAUUGUGGUUAUUUUCCUAAUCAACAUUAUGGGAUGGAAUAGAAGUUUCGACAUCUUCAGUUACAAUGAAGGAUGAGACCAAAGGUCGCCUGGUUCAAAAGGCUAAGGUGGGUUCCAAGUGGAUUUUACGUGUUAAUUUGGUCCUAUUAUAUGGAAAAAAUUUAUCUAUGUUAUGGUAAUUGAUAACUUUUUUUUUCUUCAUGAUUUUGUAGAUUGAAAUUGUUCUGGAGAAAACUGAGAAGUUUGACAGUCUGACGGCUGUUGCAAACACUGAAUCAAAAGUAGUUGCAGCUGACGAUGACAAUCAUGAGAAGAAAUGACAAAUAUAGAGUCAGGGUGAUCUGUGAUCUGUGAUCUCAAUGUACUGGUUAACAUUCCAUACUCAAACAUUCUCUUGUGUUGUUUGCAUUCAAAGACGUCGUACAUAUAUAAAUGGAUAGAUUAGAUGAUUGUUUCGUUGAAUACCAUCGAUCAAGAAAAAUUGUUAUCAAGUUACAAUGAUAAGACUCCACUUAGUGGUCAAACAUGUAGCUAGAUAGAUUCCCAUUUUUCCAAUAUUGUGUCACUUUAAACUGUAUUCCUACACAUAUAUGAUUCUUAUGUGAUGUUACUCGUUCCAUAUUUUCAUUAUUGAUGGAAUUUCUGUAAAGAUUUAUUCUUCUCGCAAGUUAUAUAAAAUUGUACUUCACUUCAACAAAUCCUAUAUAUUACAAUUAGAAUCACCACAUGAUUAAUUGUGAAAAUUCAAAAUAUUACUCCAAUCAUAGUUGUGUGUAACUUGAAUUUUAUUUUUCAUAAAAAAAAAAAUGUGAUAUAACACCUUCACACGUAUUCAAACUGACUACCAGGCUUCCUCAACCAAACUACCUGCAUCCUGUGACGUUUUAGUAGAGUUCACAUCACUGGCAUAUACUCCAUAUAUAUGGAAAUUCUAGAACUCCUCUCGCUUUAUGUUUUAUUAACCAGAAGGAGGUAUAAUAUUUUAAAAUUAAGAUGACGGGAAUCUGAAAUUUAAAGUACACACUGUUAUCCUCAUAUCAUAAGAAGGUACCUAUCCACCUCUGGUCUCUGGAUUAAAAAUCAAACAAAAUAUGAAAAAAAAAUUAUCUUUUAAAAAUAAAAAAUGUCUAAUUAAAAAUAUUUUUUGAGCUUGAACCAAGCAUAAAAUUAAAGUAUUAUAUUCCCAAGCUUAUAUUUUUAAUUAAAUAACUUGUUAAUUCUGAAAGCAUAAUUAUUAAGGAAUUUAUUUUCUUACCCCGCUAUUCUACAUAUGAUUUAAUUGAAGUUAAUUUUUCUUAGGAUUUGAAGGGGAUGAUUAAAGGAAAAAAUAGAAAAGUAUUUAAAAUAAAAGUAUUUUAAUUGAAUUAGAAUGAUAAAAAUAUUUAAUAGUUAUUUUUUAAAGUAGAUGUGAAAUGUAGUAGUAAAAGACUUGAUGUUAGUUGAGUGGUUGGGCGAUGACACAUACCAGAUUCAGAUAUACAUAUACUAUAUAAUAAUAGUACUGCUCUCCUUCCAUUCUUCCUUUCUUCUUUCUGCGCAACCCAAAACCCUAGAUUCGUAACUGUACCACGUCCUCGUCCCAAUCAAGGUAAUUUUACACACUACACUCACUUGUUCAGUGAUUCAUUAUUUGUUUGUCUUGGCGAUUAGUGUCUUCCCCCUCUAGAUCCAGUUUAUUUGAAUCCUUCCUCCUGCUACUGCAGUUACUUAUAUGUCAUGUCAUGUCAUUUUUUUUUUUUUGCAGUGAAAGCUCGAUGGCUGAAAUGGACCAGAACACGGGCGGUGAGCAUGAGGCGGAGGAAACGAUUGAGAUUGAGGCGGAAGUGCACGGUGGUGAAGAGGCGGUUGUUGCGGAGAAGAAGUGGCCGGGGUGGCCCGGGGAGAGUGUGUUUCGGAUGUUAGUUCCUGCGCAGAAGGUUGGGGGUAUCAUUGGACGCAAAGGAGAGUUCAUCAAGAAAAUUGUCGAGGAGACACGAGCUCGAGUUAAAAUUCUUGAUGGUCCUCCGGGAACUGUGCAAAGGGCUGUAAGUUUCUCACUCUCGCUCUAGCUUCACCAGUUAAUUGCAAUUUUAUUCUACUUUUCUUUUGUUUGGGGGAAUACGGUUUGAUGUUGUUGUGGUUCAGCCGCUUCAUAAUUGACACUCCCUCCAUUCCUAUUCACAAGACCCAAGUUUAAAAUGAUGCUUGUUACUUUUUAUAAGACUCAAUCUAUAAUAUCCCUUGCAUUAAUUGUUUUUAGACUACAAAUACCCCCAUUAAAAGAAGAAAGAGAAUAUAUUGGUCACCAUAGAGAAGUAUUAAUGACAAGGACAUUUUUGGAAAAAAUUAUAAAUUCAAGACAAAUUUAUUGUUAUCAACUAAAUUAAUCAGUUUCCUUAAUCUUGAUAAAUUAGGUAAUUGUGUCUUAUACAUAGGAACGGAGGAAGUAUUGGAUUAGUAUUGAUCUAGAAUAGAAUCCUUACCAUGCUCUUCUGCCUCUGUAGUUUUUUCUCUCUUUCUAAUCUAUUUAAGUUUUAUUAUAAUUUUAAAAUCAGUCGAGCUGUCGAGCUUUCUGGUGAUUGUAGUAGUAUAAUGAUGUUGGUGAUAUCUGGUUUUUUUGGAGUUUCAUGGUGAUGGAAUUUAGUUAUAUGUUUUAUCUCUAGUUUUACCAUUAUUGGAUAAGACACUGUAAAUGAAUAGAAACUGUAUGAACUGAUGUAUGUCUCCUUUUUAGGGCUAAUGUGGUAGAUAUUUACCUAAUACUUUUGCAUUGAGUUAUUUUCUGCUAGUCUGUGUUCAAACUGCUUAUAAAUACUACCUCCGGUCCUAUAUAUAAGAAAUAAAAGACAACAUUUUCUUGGUCAUAAUUGUAAGAAACAUAUGACUACUUUAUUGCUAAAUUUCCUUUUUUAUCUCUAAUUAAUUGUGAGGUCUAUAACGUCUAUUAAUGAUUACUCUCUUUUUCCUGUGAAAGUGGGUGCAUUUAUUGAACUAUCAACAAAACAAGGCAAACUCAUUGGUUGAAAAAUUAUCUAUGGAAAAAUAAUCAUAUCUUAUUAUUUAAUGUCAUGGGUAGCCUUGGAAUAAAAUUAAAAUUUAUGACAAACUAACUAAUCUAACUACUUUUAUUGGUCUUGAUGAAUUAGGUAAUUGUUUCUUAUACAUAGGACCAGAGGUUUAAAUCCUUGUGAAGAACUGGAAGUUAUGUUUCGGGAACUAGUAUUUAGAUUAGAAAAUAUUGGGAGGGUCAAAGUUUCUUUGCAUAUUGGAUGUUUAAAUCCUCUUGAAGAACUGGAGUUAAUGUUUCGGGAACCACUUCAGAGUAAGUAAUUGUAGUGGUGCUAAUUAUCCUGUGGAAUUGAGUCUGUGAUGGUAUUAUGAAGGAGAAUAGAUUGUGGCUGUCUUUCCUUCAGCUACCUUUCAUGACAUUUCCAAUGUCCUCAUGUUGUACCCAGAAAUUUAAAUCAAAGUAUUACAACAAUAAAAAUAUAACUUGUUCAUGGUCUAAACUCUAAAGUGUGACCUUAAUCAUGUGCUACAAUAAAAAGAAAAAAAGAAGAAAAACUAAGUUGAAGAAGAUGAAGCUAAUUCGAAAAUGAAGAGUGAUGGCAAGAAUCCACAGAAUAUGAAUUUAAUUCUAACGGAAAAUGAAUCUGUGCAGGUUCAAUGUUCCAAUUUUAAAGGCAACGACUCAAUCAUCAAUUAGGUCUCAAUAUUGAAGAACCAAAGUUCCAGAUACAGGGAUCAGCAUUGAGCGUUGCAAAGUGCUGAAAAGCAUGUUAACAUGUAGACAUUAUGUUCCAAAGUACCAUGAAGCUCUGCAUUCCAUCUGGUAAAUUCAAAACCUGGAUGAUUGAUGUCUUGCCGCAGAUUGCAAGCAAUGAAAAGAAGCUUAUAACCAGAUCUAAUAGUAUACUUAAACCGUUAACUUAAGUAUCAAAAUUCAAAACUGAAGUAUUUUAUUGUCAUACAUGUUAUUGGAAAAAAAGGAUACAAACACUACCCAAGUCUAUCAAUCGACUUAACUUUUAACAAAUGGAGCUUUUCUAGGUGUUAAUGAUUUAUAUGUUAUCAUAGUAGUUCUUUUACUAGAUAAUAUUGGCCAUACUGUUCUAUCAUUAGCUAAAUGCACUCUUGUAGUCUAGUCUUGUAAACUGCGAUUCAAUCAUUAAGGAGUUAGAAGAAACUUACUGUGACAUGCAUCUUAUAUCUUGUGACAUGUCAUAUAUUAUUGGCCAAUUAGAAUUAUUAUGUUCCAGUUUGAGACUUCCAUUUUUGCAGUCAAUUCUUAGCCUGUUUUAGUUGGUUGAAUACAAGUAGUAAGGAGCAUUUCUUGUGGUAUAUGUAACUUUUGGAGUUAUUGCAUAUAUUAGUAGAGGGGGGAUGGGAAGAGAAAUUUAAGGUGAUAUACUUAUGGUUCACUACUCAAGUAAGAAAAAAGGGCUGAGGGCCAGGAAAAGAUACAUAAGGUGCAGACUUAUUGUAUAUAUUGGUAAAAGGACAGAGAAAGGAAAGGGGUUUCUUGAUCAGGUGAAGAGUUAAGGCUGCACAAUCUUUAAAUUAUUCAUUAGAUUUCUUCAUGUGUCAUUUAUUCUUUAUGGAAGAUGCUCAUUAAGAUCUCAUAAGAAUCAUGUUCCAUCUAUCCAUCUCGAAAACCAAACUUUGCAAUAUUAUGAUACCCCGUUGCUAAUAAUGAACAAUGUGCUGCCAUGGCUGAUACUUAAACCAAAAGUUGUUCAACAUUUUAAUUUACGGAUAUUACUAUCAGAUGAGGUUAAAUUAUUUAAAAGGAUCUCAUGGUGAACUAUAUCCUUGAGAAUUUGGGUUUUAACUGAGCCUAAUAGUGUUAUGUGAUCCACGUAGAGCCAAUCUCAGUUGUAUAAGACUAUUAUUGCCAUUAUACUAUCAGAUGAGGUUGUUAAUGUAGAUUAAUUAGGAGCAAGAGUUAUCAAGAUAAGGUCUUGAACAUAAUGAGCUGUGUGGGACUGGUAGAAAGAUCAUCUGAUGGUAAAGGAUUUCUUCUGGCAUUUUGUUGACAGGUGAGGACAUUAUAGGGAUUAAUUGAGGAAGAAAAUAUCCCAGAAGGAGGAUUGGCUUCUUUUGAUGAGUCUUCUAAGUUAUUACAUUUUGUAAUAUUCAAAAUUGCUUGCUUGUUUGCUUUCUUGCUGAGCUUGACAUUGUAGGUGGCAUGUAAUAUGCAUGGUAGAUAAUGCUUUUGUUGCUGUGUUAUUGUGGGUUAAUUUUUUAUUGUUUAUUUUGCCAUCCUAUAUUCUUGUUAUUCCUAGACAUUGUAGCAAAUGCUAAGGACAAGGAUAGGCUGAUGCCGUUAUUUGUUCAUUUUGAUUAGGUAAUGAUAUCAGCUAAAGAGGAACCUGGUUCCUCUGUUCCUCCUGCUGUGGAUGGCUUAUUAAGGAUUCAUAAACGGAUUAUUGAUGGUUUAGAGAGUGAUUUUACCCAUGCUCCUUCAGGUGUGGCCGGGAAGGUUUCUACAAAACUUCUAGUGCCAGCCUCACAAGCAGGAAGUUUGAUUGGGAAGCAAGGAGGAACUGUAAAAUCUAUCCAAGAAGCAUCCAAUUGUAUUGUUAGAGUUCUUGGAGCAGGUUCUUGCUAGUAUUUCCUAUAACAUUUUCUCAUCCAGUUGUUCCAUUAUUAUCUUUUUUCAUUAUUUUAGAAUUCUGUAUUUCCAUGGAUUUCAUUGUGGUUUUUAUUUUUAUUAAAAAUUUUAUUUUUAUUAAAUUUUGACACCAUGAUUUUGAUUUGAGGUAAGGAUGAGCUUUAUGCACUGUCUACUACAGCUGUAAUAGAGCAUCAUCUUGGACAUGCUUUUAAGCCAUUCACUAGUGUCAUAACUUUCUUGCCAGUGUUGGAUUUAUCAAUUUUUAUGUUAUUGAUAUCACAAAAGCAGUCAGAUAUGCAUCUCUAACUCCUAUCACUAAUAAAUGACUAGUUAGAAAAUAAUGGAAUCAUUCAUUUACUAAUUCAGUUGUCAGGAAAAUAAUCUUGAUCUCAGUUUUGACAUUCUAUUCUAGAUCUGUAGAUCGCUACAAUCUAAUUAGUUUUGAAGCAUCCUGGAAUCUUCCUUGUGUAUCCUUUUUUAACUGGAAACUGUUGCAGGAUACAAUUUAAGGGAGUGGUAUGAAUGAACUGUGGAGAAAACAAUAUCUAUUACUUUUAAUGUUCUGAUUUAUUCUUUCAAAUAUAGUAUUACUCAAAAUUUGAAGCUUUUUUCCAAUCUUUGCAUUUUGGUCCAUUGGUGGGCUGUUUGACAUUGUGUAGUUGCUAACCAUCUGUGUGGCUUUCUCUUCUGCAGAAGACCUCCCUAUUUUUGCCCUUCAAGAUGACAGGGUGGUUGAAGUAGUUGGGGAUCCCGCUGGAGUGCAUAAGGCAUUAGAGUUAAUUGCCUCCCACCUAAGGAAGUUUUUAGUUGAUCGCGGUGUAAUUCCAAUUUUUGAAAUGAAUGUAAGUGUGAUUUCAUCUUUAACUUGUGAAGAACCUAUCUUCAUAAUAAGGAAUAAGCUGAUAAAUGCUUGUGGGAGCCCAUUUGUUUCAGCUUUUUUUCAGGAGAAAUAGUUUUAUUUUGAAAAGCGUUUGUUUAAACUUUUGAAAAUAAAAUCUUUAUUUUUACUAUUUGGAGUAGCUUCUGAACAAAAGCUAUAAUUAUAACUACUUUUUAUAAUAAAAAGUACUUUUCAUAAUUGUUACCAAGCAAAAUAUAGCUUAUAUUUUCCAUAAAAUAUCUAAUUUUUUUUCUUCUUUUAUAAUACAUUCUUAAAAACACUUUUCAAAAAAAUUUAAACAAACAAGUCCUAAAUUACUAUUUCUUCAGAUGCAAACAGCCAAUCCCCACCAUGCAGAGCACAUGCCACCCCACCAAUCUUGGGGACCAUCUCAGGGUCUUCCUCCAAAUGUUGGUGGAGGUCCUGGUUUUGGACCUCCUUCUCAAUACAUGCCACCUCCACGACAACUUGAUAGUUAUUAUCCAUCAGCUGAAAUGCCUCCUCCAGUGGACAGACAGCCCCAUCAAGGUAUAUCUGCUUAUGGAAGAGAUGCUUCAAUAGGUGUUCAUGCAUCUUCAAAUACUCAAUCUGCACCUUCCAUAGUCACACAGGUACUUGUUCUUAUUUGCAAAAUUGUUUUGUAAUAAUCCCCAACAGAAUGCUGUACUUGUUCUUAGAAUUUGUGGCUUUGUAUUUCUGUGGUUUCGUGAAGGGACUUGUUGAUGUGCUGCUUCUUCAAUCUCGUUCUGUAACUUCGGGAAACCUAGCAAGCUAGUCACAAAAUUUCCAUAUAAAUUGAUAAGUAGCAUUUCUUUUCAGGUUAGAAUUAAAAUAGCAGAAGGCGAUGAAAGCACAGACAAAUACUUGGAUGUUUAGCUUAAAUAUUUAAACAAAGUAUAUGAAAUAUCUUGGGAAUGUCAUCUUCUCUUGUUGAGAUUAGAUGAGGUGUCCUGCUUGAUUAAUAAUUUAAGCUUGAGUUUAAAUGGAAGUGUGGAUGCAGGCUUGCACUCUUGACUAGCUUUGUAUUAACAUUUAGGAUUGGAGGUGAUGCAAUAUAUACUUAUAUGGACCUGAUUUCCUGCUCUUUAUAAAUUUUAUUACCUUUUUUUAAUCAUAAAGAUGGAUUUUAUUGCUAUUGUGGCAGAUCACGCAGCAAAUGCAAAUUCCUCUAUCUUAUGCUGAUGCUGUUAUUGGAACAGCUGGAGCAAGUAUAAGCUACAUCAGACGAGCUAGUGGGGCUACUGUUACCAUACAAGAAGCAAGAGGUGUUCCUGGGGAGAUGACAGUUGAAAUCAGUGGAACUGCUUCUCAAGUCCAAACAGCACAGCAACUAAUACAGGUAAUACUGAUCUUGGUUUUCUAAUCAAUUUGAAAUCUUUUCAAUCCGUAAGAUGCUGCAUGUUUUUUUUAAUCUUAAUAUGAAAUUAUUCAGUUAAAAUCUGUUUGUAGUCUUCAUUGGGACCUAAAAUAUUCAUUUUGCACCAGAGUUCCGUUUUCAUCAAGACUAAUCUUUUAACUAAAAAUGGAGAGGAAGUGUAGGGGUAUUAGCUUGUUGAAUUUCUAAAUUACAAAGUUGUCUUUCCCAAAGUAUUGUCCCAAUCAAAAAAGUUGGGAGUAAAUUUGUAAUUGUAAAAUGUUUUUAUUCAAUUCUUCCUAUUCACCCCCCUCAUUUGUAUGACGUGAGAAAAUUAUCAUUGCUUACUCAUUUCAUUUUCUAUCCUUUCUUAUUUUGUUCCCAUAGAGACACUGAAGGUUCUCUGAGCUUGUUGCUAAUUUUUCUGGAUUAUGUUGUCAAUGUUUGAACUGAUUUAAUGAAUGUUUGUAAUACUUAAAUUUAGAUAACAGUCGCUUAUUUUUCAAAAAUUUCUAUUAGUAAGAAUAAGUUAUUGGGUGACUUUGUUUAAACUUAAAAAUAACAACUUUAAAAUAAGUGCUUUUUUUAUAAGCGAUUUUUUAAGAAACAGAUAAGAUUUACUUCUUAAAAUAAACAUAAAAUUAUUUUUUUUAAGCAGAAACAGUUUAGUUAAACACACUAAAAAAAUAGAAAACUGCUUAUUUUAUUAAAAUAAACACUUAUUUCAAUAAAUAAGUUUAAACAAACUGAGUCCUUAUUUCUUCAAAAUAAGUUAAACCAAACAUGCACUUGCGUUGCGUGUUUAGUUUGCAUGGUAAUCAACUGAAACAAUUAUGAAUAUGUGGUGCAGAAUUUUAUGGCUGAAGCUGCAGCUGCAGCUGCAGCACCAGCACAGCCGCAAACAACUGUGCCUGCUGCAGACCAAGGAUACAAUUCUUACCCUGCCCAUGGUUCUGUCUAUGCCUCUCCUCCUUCCAAUCCUGGACAUGCUGGAGGCUAUGGCUCAGUUUAUGGUGCAAACUAUGGGUACUAAGCUGGGCAGAGCAACUAAUGCUGCUAUUAUUGAAAUUUAUAAUGCUGGGAACAGAAUUAAUGUAAUAAUUUAAGAAAUUUUAGAUUAUUGUCCGACUUUUGUGUUCUGUUAUACUCCUAGUCAUUUGGAAAGGUAAAACAUACUAUUCGUGGCCUUCUGAUGUAUCAUGUACUUGUUCUAUGAUUCUAUCUAAUUGGUGCACCUAUUCCUCUUCCUAUUUUUGCAUAAUUACCGUUUGAAUAGACGAACACAUUGCAAAGCAACAUUUUGUGAGAAGCAACAGUUUUUCACUUAUGUCUGACUGACCCAUUUAACGAAUGCAAAACGGGAAAACAAACAUAACAUGACCCUGCUAACCACAAAAGAUUGAAGACAAACCUAAAAGUCAUGCUUUUUGUCCCAAAUUGUCUUUCCCUUCUUUAUUAGAGCAUAACACAAGCUUUAGGGACUACGAACUUCCAGCGAAGUAAGCAAAUUGGGAGGCUCCAAUACUUCGGUUUCCAGGAACUAUUUAUGAGUCAAAUUCAAAAUUUUAGCUUGAAAUAAGUAUGUAUUGAGCUAUUAUAUGCGCUAUUAAACAAUGCGAGUUAAUUUGCAAACAUGGAGCAGCUGAAACAAAUUAAUUCACAUUAAUGUAUAGGAAAUAAAAAAGAUCAUUUGGUGGAGGGUCUAUGCUAGCAAGCCUAAAUAAUGAAAUAAUGAAAAGCUAAGCUGUGACAUGAGACUUAGAUGGGAGCUGCACAGGUGGUUCUAAAGUGACCUGUUUGAUUGCAACGACUACAAUGCACAACCCGUUUUACACGGCCACGGUCUUCUGCACGAACCCGCUUCUUUCUAGGUCGACCCGGUGGCCUGAGUGAUUUAGGAGGAUUAAUAGCAAUUUGAAGUUGAAGUUGAUUAGCAUUGGAAGCAUUGACGUCCCCCUCAGCCUCAGACAACUCCUUCCACAGAGACUUAUCAGGAAUUGGAUGUAUGGUCUGUGAGUAUGUCUUCCUAUAGGUUGCAACAGUAAAACAGCUUUCUGUGAAUCUAUGCACAUUCUGCCUAAUAGACAGAAGUGCAGCCACAGCAUGUGCACAAGGCAAGCCAUACAGCUGCCACCCACGACAUUGACAGCAACGGGUCCUAAUAUCAACAGUAUUUGUCCCUUCAUGAGAUAUAACUUCAAAUUCAGCGUCAGUGGCACGAAGUACCUGGUGUGUCCGUGCUCGAUCAAGAGCCUCUGCAACAUGUCUCUCUGCAGAAGGUACAAGAAUUGAUGGCCACUGCAUACUGGUCUCUCGCCGCUCGUUAAACCAAAUCAUUAGCUGCCUUCUAAUGCAUUCCAUCAUUUGAAUUAUCGGAAGCCCAGAUGCAUCUAAUAUCCAUGUGUUUAAAGAUUCAACUAUGUUUGCUGUCAAAUGAAAAAAACUUUGCCCCUCAAAAUAAGCAGUAGCCCACAAAUGAGGUGGAACUCUUCGUAUCCAAUAAGCAGCAUCUUGUGAUAUCUCUUCAAUCUCUAAAACUUUUGAUUCAAAUUCAAGUAUGGUAAGAACUUGAGCUGCAUUCCAAAGAAGAUUAACAAGCAUAGUGUUAUUAAACUCCUUGCGAAAGCUGUCAAUCAAGUGACGCAUACAAAAUCCAUGGAAAGCAGUAGGAAAAUUUGCUUCCACACCAUCUACAAUUCCCUUCUGUCUGUCAGACAAAAUUGUAAGCCUUGGCAUGUUUUCAGUGUUAAUCUCCAGCAGGUUAUGAAGUUCAGACAGAAACCACAUCCAAUUAUCAUCAUUCUCCUCAUCAACAACACCAAAUGCCAAAGGAAAGAGAGCCCCAUCACCAUCAAAUCCAGUAGCAAGAAGUAAUGUACCAAGAUACUUGCUCUUCAAAUAUAUUCUAUCAAGCUCCAAAAGUGGUCGACAAGCAUUUAAAAAACCAUAUAUUGAUGCUUGAAAGGAUAUGAAGAGGCGUCGGAAGCAAUUAUCAGUAGGGUUUGCAUAAACAGAUGCAAUACUGCCUGGGUUUGUGCGCUUCACCUGUUCACAGUACUGUGGAAGCAAGCGGUAGCCCUCUUCAAAAGAUCCACGCAUUGCAGCCAUGAUACGCUCCUUACCUCUCCAUGCUUGCUUGUACGAUAAAGUGAUGCCAUGAACCCUAUGAAUCUCUUCCAAUAUCUCCUUUGGCUUGCAAUCAGGGUUCUCCUUUAGCCUUUGCUCCACAGAGGUAGCAACCCAUUGAACUGAGGCUUGUUGAUGGCCAAGAUGUGAAAUUCCUCCACAUGUAUGAGACUCAUGGACUGUCCUGAUAGUAAAAGUUGGAACCCCAGGGAGCUUCGCUGCAUGAAUGCGCCAGGGACAUCCUUCACUUCGGCAUUUAGCAGUAAAGCGGGUCUUGUCAGAUUUGAUAGUCUGCAUCUCAAAGUGCAGAGCAAUUGCCGUAUCCCUCAAUGCCCUCCGGCAACUCCUAACAUCAGGGAAUUCUUGUCCCACUGACAAUUCAUAAUUGGGACUAAUAGCUAAUGUACGAGCUUGAAUUACAGGGGGUGUGGUAACCAUAAGCUGGGAUUCAUGGAAACCGAUUGCUUCAGCAGAUUCAAUACUCAUUUCCGGGUUCUGGACCACAGUCAGGGCCAUGUUCUCAUCAAAUUCCUGAUUUUCUGAAACAGCCAAGUCAUUGUUCUCUGGUAAGUCCAAGUCAUGAUUUUGUGUGGGAAUGGGCAUCACAUGGUCAUCAUGCUCAGGUUUUUGAUCCAUUGAUAACUCAUUCUCAUGCCCAUAUGUGUGAACACCAUCUCCUUCAUCAUCAUGGUUCAAUCCUAAAUCCAAUUCAUGGUCAUUGGCAAUUCCUAACCCCAGUUCAUGAUCAUGAGUUCGUCCCAGACCCAAAUGUUGAUCAUCAGUUUGUCCCAAUUCCAAAUCAUGGUUCUCGCCGAGGCCCAAACUAUGAUUGUGGCUCAGCAUCAAUUGCUGGUCAUGGCCAAGUGCUAAAUUGUGACUUUGGCCAAGUAUCAAAUCAUGGUUAGCCAUUGAAGACAUGAAUCACUAUAUGUCAAUACACCGACAAUUUGCGGAUAGAACACCAGCUGAAAGAAACCGCAGAUAACAAUAGGAAAGUCAGAUAAAACCAUAAAAAAUAUGAAAUUUGAUGGUUAAAUUCAACUAAAUAUGCUGAACUUCAAAACUGUAGCAAAUAAACAGUUCAAAGGAGGCAAGGGAGUGAAGACAUACCACUAUCCAAAUCCAGCAAAAGUAAGAAAAACAUACAAAAUUAGAAACAGCUAGAAAGAUGGGAUUCAUAAUGAAACAUAAACAACACACUCUCCAGUCUUAUUGACCUAGCUAUCACAAGUUACAGAUCCCAAAUUACAUAAGACAGUGUCAAGUGUUGAGUACAAUUAUACUAUUGGGAUUACAAAAUGCAAAUCCAUGAUUGUAUUGCAGACUACCAACAACAUUAGAACUUCUAUCAUUUUAUAAACCAUCCCAGAAACAAAUUCAAAUCACAUGGGCAGCCACACAGUAAAAAAAUCUCUCCCUUCUGAUAACAGAGAAGCAAAAACAAGCAUCAAGUUUGGAAUCCAAAUAAAAAAAUUGCUCUGAGCUUCAGUUAGUAAACUCGAGUGAGGCUAUACGUAACCAAUUAAAAAACAAAACAGAAAAGGACAAACUUUGAAGGAAAUAUAAAGCCAUAACCAGAAUUAGAAGCGACAAUCAAACAAAAAUUAACACGUCGAAUAAACAAACCACACACCCCCGUAGAAAUUCGAGGCAAAAAACAUGUUCUUGGUGAGGAGAAGCAGAGUAAGAUUACCUGAAAGAUUAAAACCUGGAAGAGAAGAAGCGGAACCCUAAGUGGGAAUGGAAAGGGUUGAUCGAAGAAGAAACGGGAAUUUGAAAAAAUGGCGGGGAAGUAGAGAAAGAGAAAAAUCAGAAUAUGGAGAAGAAGGAAGGAAGGAAGGAAAGAAGGGUAAGGAGAAGAGAGGAAGAUCGGGAAUUAGAGGGUCCUCAAGGGAAAUCCAUACUUUCACCUAAGCACCAACAGAGGGUAUUUAGGUCAAACGAAACUACCCUAUCCUCUUUUCUUUUCCUAUUAGGCUAAUUACUCUUUUGCCCUCAAGAUAAUUCUUAAAAUGAUUUUAGUUAUCCCUUGGACUAAUGAUUUGUUGGUGAUUACACUUAUUAUUUUUAAUUUUUAAUAAUGAGUAAAUUAUUUUUUUCCUGGUUCAGAGACACCUUUCUCAAUCCAGUGAGUGAAGGAUUAAUCUCACUCAAAAUUUGUGAUUAUUAUUGAAUAAGAAUUAAAUAUGAAUUUUUCAAUUAAAUAGAUUAUUUUUACAUUUGGAAAGAUGUAACGAAACUACGGAAUCUUAUAUCACUUUACUAAUUCUUUAAAAAAAUUAAUGAUUAAUAUUAUAUUUUAUUUAUACUUUGUUAUAUUUUUUUAUUCAUAAAAAUUAAAGACAAGUAUAAGAGAGUAUACACUAACUCAACACAUGUUUAAUUAACUAGACUAAACUCCUUAAUUAUAAUUAUAUACUAAUUAUAUAUAUAUAUAUAUAUAUGUAUGUAUAAUGUAAUAUAAAAUCAAUCAUUAUUUUUUUAUUGAUAUAUAAAAUUAUUAACUUGAUUCUUUAAAAUGAAUUAUUUACUUUAAAAUAAUCUCAUGUGAAUAUAACCUUAGAGAUUUAUGCUAAACAAUUUUUCCGGAUAUUGGUAAAUCUCAAUGGAGUUUACAUUUGAUUCUAUUUUUUGUGUAAAGCUUUUAUGCUGUUAUUAAACUAUGUAUUAUUAUUCUUCUGAUUCUGAAUGAUAAAAAAAAUGUAUUAAAGACCAAAGACCAAAAAAUUAUUAUUACAGUCAAACUCAUUACCUAAUAGUAUUUUUUUUAUUAUUACAGUUAAACUCUUCGGUUAUUAUUUCUAACUUUUAAAAUCAUUAUUAUUACAAUCAACCUCUUCAGUUAUUAUUUCCAACUUUUAAAAUUAUUAUCAUUGCAGUAAACAAAAGUUAUUAAAAAUUAGAAAACAUGUAGUAGUUAAAAUUUAUUAAAAAUUACAACAGAAAAAGUCAAUAAAUAUAUAAUAAGAUCUAUAAAAAUAUGAUUUGUAAUAAAUUUUAAUUAAUAUUUCUCUUUUGCUUUUUGUAAGAUAUUUUUAAUUAAUUCACAUUUUUAAAGAAAAUUAGUUAAUUUAAUUAAUAUUAUUAAAUUGUCAAUAUUUUGUAAUGUUUUUUCAAAACUAUUGAUACCUAAGAUACUAGCUGAGAGAGACAGAGACUAGUGAGUAUCAGAUACAUCCUCGCCUUGCUGAAGUACCCAUGCUAAUGCCAACUGGGCAGGAGUGGCCUGAUGCUUCUUAGCAAGGCCUUCAAUUCGUUCAUAUAUAUUCUUGUUCUCGGCUUGAAAGCGUGGAUGUGCUUUCUGAUAAUUGAAAUAACCCUCAGAAACAACAUCUUCCAUUCUUUGCCAAAAGAAAAUGUACAAUCUUAUAUUCUUAUGGAGAAAAACAAAUAUGGUUCACUACUUCAGCUUAAACACACAAGUAUUUGCAAUUAACAGACAACAAACCAACCAAUGUUUCACUCAAGAUUGAGAAUUGAUCAUUGCUAUUUGAUAAUUUGUCAUUAUCAACAAUUCCAUGGUAUGCAGCAGAAUUAUGUACAUGCCAAAUUGCUAUAUACCAGGGAGCUUAUUGCAGGCAUUUUCCGCAACUCCUUUGCCGCCAAAAAAGCCACGACCAAGAGGAUAUCUUUGGUAUAGCCGUUUGUGUUAGAAAUUAAGUUAUCCAUUGUUUAUCAAAGAAUUCUAAAUUUUAUGUUAGUCGACAUAUUUUUUAUUUGGUUUCUAAUUGUAUUCAAACUUUGAUUAUGAAUGAAAUCAUAUAAACACGCUUUAGCUGCAGAGAGGGACUAUCUCUUCUUCAAUGUCACGAGUCCACAAAGACCACUCUAUUUGCACAGCUGUGAUGGGAUGAAUUGCGUGUGCUCUCCUUAUUGUAUCUGGGCUGGCUUCAGAUAAUCCAAUAUAUUUGACUUUACCCUCUUCGACCAAUUUCUUAAGUUCACCCACCUAUAAUAUUAUAACAAACGUUAAUAACAUAUCUAAUAUCUAGUGAGAUAAGCCAGAUAAUAUCAUUAUAUUACUAAAUUUUCACAGGUAUAUAUAUAAAGUCUACUAUGAUCAAAAUCAUUGAGAGGAAGAAAUCC
rnacentral:lncRNA from 1 species